rnacentral:lncRNA from 1 species
AAGAGAGAGAGAGAGAGAGAGAGAGAGUAGUUAGGANNNNNNNNNNNNNNNNNNNNAGAAGAGAGAGAGAGAGAGAGAGAGAGAGAGAGUUUUGAAGGGCAAAGACAAGAAGAGCGCAGGGCGUUGCCACGGGAAGCAAGGUGGCGUAACGGGAAUAGGGACGGCGUCAUUUUAGAUAAAGAUCUUGGGAGAGUUGACCGACUGUAGCAAUCGCGUAUCCUGAAAUGCGCCUUCCGGGAUUUUAGCGCCGGUCAAACUAGGUUGGACAUGGAACUGGGAUAAUAAUUUUUCAAGAAAUACUGAGAAUAUUUUUUUUAAAAGUAAUUAUUUAUAUUUUUUAUUAGAAGUGUUGAAGAAGCAUUUACGAUCAAGUAAAUGGCUCUACGAGGAUUCGGAAAGAAAAAUAAUUGUACAAGUUAUUUAUUUAAAAUAUUUAAAUAUAAAUUAUGUUAGAUAUUUAUGGCUCAAUCUAUGAAAUAGUUUUUCUCUCUUAAAAACAUAUAUUUUUUACCGAUGCAUAAAAAAAUUAUUUUGUUAUGAACGAACAAGAUAUUAAAAAUUGUCCAUAUAAUAUAAAUCUUUUUUAUAUAAAAAAGAAUCUUUUGUUAUUAUAGAACCAAAAGUGAUCUAAUAUUUCAAAAAUAAAAUUUGAUUUGCUUUACGAAAACACAACAACAAAAAAUUCACAAAACUGAAGAGGAUAGGAAACAUAAUUUCUACGUUGUUUGCAUUAUAUAUGCACAAAGCUAUUUUUAUUUGAUAGUUGUUUGCAUGGUAGAAUACAAGAUGUACGAUAUAUAAAAAUGUUCCUAUUUGAUAUCUAUCUGUUGACAACGAUCUUCGAGCAUUGUAUAGUAUUCUGCGAUGCAUAUCAUACAUCAUAGAAGAUUCAUACUCGUACAUAAAAUAUAGUGACAGCCAAAACAAUUCCAAACUUAUGGAGGACAAAUUUUCAUAACAAAAUCAAUUUUGCGAUGCCAUACUUUAUAUUCAAACAAUAACAAUCCUUUAUAUAUGUUUAUACUCCCAUGAAGUCCCUUAAAAAAAGCGUGUACCAUAAUUAAACAUGACAUGGUAAGACCAAGGAUCUGAUCAUUUGAUUACAAGAAUCCGAGUCCAUCGAUGGCAUUGAUAUCACUCUAUCAUCAAAUUACUAUUACUAUUUUUUUUGAAUUUUAUGUACUUUUAAUAAUCCUUAUCAGAGAGUCAUGAAUGAAGUUAUUCAUCGCAUCAAUGAUUAACAGAGGGGAGGGUAAAUCUCUCCCCUCUGUUUCUUUUUUAUUCUAUUUGUGUCUUGAAUUUCUCUUCUUUACUCUCCGUACCUCUCGAUUCAAACACUCUAAAUAGAAGAAGGAGGAAGCUAUAUAAGAUGUCGCAGGAGGAAGCUUUAGCCCCGACCGAACCUUUAGCAAUAAGAAAAAAUUGUAUGUCUCCUUCCGCCGCCUUGACCUCCUUUCGUUUUCCAUGCCCUGGAUUUCCGUUUCCCCUUGCCCUCCACCCUCGGCGGCCGCCGCCCGAAUCGCUAGCCGGAGGACCGCCGAACUAUUCCCAACCCGCUGCCGCCCGCCACCCCCCAUCACUCCCUCCACCGCGAACUCCUAUCCGGAAUCCUCCUCCUCCGACACCAAGCUCUCCACCUUCUGCGCCGCCGUCGCCGAGUUCUCCAAACGCCCCCAAGGUCUCCUCCCCCCUCCUGGCGUCGGACCCCGUCGCUCCCUCCCCGCCUCCUACAACGUCUUGAUGAAGUACUUCUCCCGCUGCGGCGACGCCGACGAGGUCCUCCGCGUCUUCCGCGAGCUCCAGCUCUUCCGCCCGACUCGCAACGCUCUCUGCUACAACACCCUCAUCAACUCCCUCGUCGUCGCCAACCGCCACGCCGAGGCCGAGGCCGCCUUCGAGGAGAUGGUCUCGUCCGGAAUCGCCCCGACCACUUCCUCCUAUACAAUUCUCAUAAAGUCGCGAACUUUACACCCCUCUCUCAUCGAUUCAGCUUAUGAUAUCAUCCAAUCCAUGGUUCGAUCCGGCCGACACCCCGACAGAGUCACCUACUUGACCCUGAUCGCCGGCCUCUGCCGCGCCGGGAGGAUUGAGGAAGCGUGGGGUGUUUUGGAUCAGAUGCUUGAAGCAAGGUUGCUGCCGACUGUUGAAGCGUAUACUUGUAUCGUUCAUGGGUAUUGCUCGGCGGGAAGGAUCGAAGAAGCCAAGAGGUUGAUGGGCACUAUGGAAACCCUUGGCUGUCGGCCGGACGUGGUGACUUACAGCGUGUUGGUCGAGGCCCUAUGCAGAACUGCCGAAUUCGAUGAGGUGGAGAAGAUCUUGAGGGAGAGUGCGUCCAUGGGCUGGAAACCAAAUGCAAUCACCUACAAUAUCUAUAUGAAUGGGCUUUGUAAAGUGGGCAAGGUUGAUGAAGCAUUCCAACUGUUCGAAGUUAUGCGGCAGAGUGGGUUGUGCCCAGAUGCAAUCACUUUGAACAUCCUUUUUGAUUGCCUUUGUCGGGACUCCAAGGUUUGGGAGGCCAAGAGCUUGUUGGAGAGGAAUGCUGAAUUGGAAUGGGAUGUCGACAACUUCUUCUACAACACUUUGAUGAGUAGGCUGUGUGAGAUCGGUGAAUGGAUCAGUGUUCUAAAGCUCUUGAUCGAUAUGGUGAAGAAGGGGGUCGGACCGGAUGCUUGUACAUUUACCAUCGUGAUUCGAAGCCUUUGCAGAGCUGGGAAGCUUCGUAAAGCGAAAUGCAUUAUGAGCAGUAGGGGAUUUGCUGCUGAUGUUGUGGCUUAUAACACUUUGCUUCAUGGGUUUUACAUGGCAGGAGAAUUCAGUGAAGUCCAGCGUCUUUAUGCGAACAUGGUAGUGGAGGAUAUUGUUCCCAAUAAGUUCACGUAUAGUAUCAUGAUUGAUAGUUUUUGCCAAGAAGGAAAAUUUUUGGAAGCUAUUGAUUUUCUUCUUGGAUCCCUCAAAGAUGGGUUCUUAUCUGUUCUGGUUGUUCGUCUAAAUAAUUGGUUGAUUAAGGGAGGGAAGCUGAGAGAGAUACUAAAACUGCUCGAAGAAAUUACAGAACGAGGAUCGGUUCCAGACGUGUGUAUAUUCAAUGCGCUGAUAAGUGCAUUUUGCAGGGAGGGAUACUGUCAGAGUGUAGACGUAUAUAAAGUUUGUCUCAUUCUUGACAAAAUGCUUGGAGUCAAAUAAGUUAUCUCAAGAUGAUGCAAUUCGUCUGAUCAAUGGUCUGAAUCUUUCUGGAGAGCAUGGGCUUAAGUAAGGUAAUGUUUCCUCUGUGUGUGUGUGUGUGUGUGUGUGUUUUGUGCUACAUGUUCAUGAUAUGAAUGUUCAAACAAUGCUGGGCUUAAUGUACGUAGUUGCAGUGUUAUUUCCAUUCUGAAUUGUUCGACUUUCGCUUGCAGGUAAGUUCAUCCAACAAUUUAAAGUUAAAAUGAGUGUCAAAUACUUUGCGAAAAAAAUUCUUGUUGAGGACAAACAAGUAAUGUUGAAAUGAGCUCACAGUCUAUUUCAUUUGUUCCUUUUAUAUAUAUAUAUUUUAAAGAUAUAUCUUUCUUUUGAAAUUUGAGAUGAAUGGUACUUGUUUUCUGAUAUAGACAUGGGUUGUAGCAGGAAAGGAAGGGUUUCAUAUUCUUGGCGUCAAAUUCUACAGGGGAACGCAUGGCUGGUUAUUGGAAUCCAGCACCAAUGUUUUUGGGUCAUUUGACAAUAGACACUCUUGAAAACGGGCACAGGAGUUUCUUCACCAGGUUUUUAAUGCCUGAGUACCGUUUUUUUUUUUUUUUUGCUUCUUUUCAGAAAUAACAAUUUUGCAUCUACUUUUUUCUAUUGUCCCUUAUAUCCUUGGAAUUAAUUUAACGGAGAGACUUAUCCAAAAAAAAAAAAAGUUUUACGGUUUCAUCAUUUUAUCUUCUCCUGUAGAAUUUUACAAAGUAAAGUAUGUAAUAGUAUACAUUCUCAAGAGGUUCUUCUGAUGAUAUACAAUAUAUUCAAAUAAACUAGUCUUUUUCUACCUGGUUUCCCGUAACUAUGUGUAGCAAAUGAUUACAGUCUGAUGCAACCUUUGAAUCUUCGAAGUCUUUUUCAUUUUCUUGUUUUAGAAAUCCUGCCUGAAUUUCUGAAAUCUUGUUGCCCAACUGUUUAUGCCCAUGUGGGUGGUCUACCUUGUAGGGAUGUAACAUGGCUUCAUGUUAUCAUGUUAUCUUUCAUAUUUAACAAGCAUAAUAUCUUGCCACUGACCAUGUACAUUUCUUUUUUGUUUUAUAAAAAAAAAUCUCGGUGGAUGUAACCAAUGAUGUAGCCAAAGCAAUAUAGCCCAUUUUUCCUAAUCAGCAUCGUGCAUUCAUUUUCGAUGCAAUUGUUGUCUCAUGGCACCAGAUGUAACUUAUGAUUUUCCCUAAAAUAUUAUUUUUAAUUUCUCUUGAUUUGCAGGGAUCUUUCUUCAUAUAUCUUCUUUGGUCUGAUGUCUAUAUGGAUGCGAUGGAUCAUGAUCACAGUAUGCGAUGGCAUUGAUUUUACUUGAGAAGAAAGCGAUGCAUGGUUGGUAUGUUGAUCUGAAGCUUGGGUGACCUUGUCGGCAUUGGCUGCCGAUCUCUUCUCUCUCGCAUUCAUGCAGACUUAUUAUGCCAUCCUCGGCAAUCAUUACGAGUAGAUGGUGCAAUUACUUUAUUAUUAUUAUUUGGAAGAUGUUCUAGCACAUGGUGCGAUUAUUUUAUUAUUAUUAUCUGCUGAAUCUUUGUAGAGUGCUGAAUGGGUAGAUGUUCUUCCUUAGGUUACCAAGAUAUAAGUACCUGGUGAUUUCUCGUUAGACACGCAUUCAGGAUGUUUACAACGUCUUCCAGUUGGUUGGUCUAUAGAUUUGCUUAGUUAGUUUUCUUGUUUUAUUUAAGUGUAAUUUUUGUGCUUAAGUUUCAUUUUCUAGAAACUAAUGUUGUUAUGAGGUUUAAAAUGGUCAAAAGGUGCUGUUCAUUUGCAAUUUCUGGUCGUAUUUCUUGUUUGGAGUAGCUAAUGAUGCGGCACGCGGAUGAAUUCAAAGAGGAGGUUUUGAUAUAUCUUUUUUUAGGCCAAAUAAAAGCUCCCUAACAAGCCACGGCGAAUAACAUCGUCACCUUUUUCCCGCAAUAAUCAGAUUUGCAUCUAACGAGAACAGCUUCACUCUCACAACCCUGGAAAACACAAUGAGUAAAAAUAGUAUAACGAAAGGUAUUCCAAAAGAAAGAGCUAUGACUUUAAAACAAGUUGUCCAUACAGAAUAUCAAAGAAUGAUGUUCUCACACCACCCUUAAAAAAUAAUAAUAAUAAUAAUAAUAAAAAAAAAACAACAAACGUCCAAUGCCACUAUAUAUAUAUAUAUAUUAUUUUUUUUGAGAAACAGUGCCAAUGGAAAUAUUGAACUCAAAAUUCACGACUUCCAAGUGAUGCCCUAUUAUUCUACCUUGAACUGAAAAAUGGUGCAUAUCGUAAAGAUUUACAAACCAGAGUUUGUUAUUCUAAAAUAUAAGCCAGACAUAAAAUUCGUGCAGCUGUAAGAUAUAUUUUAUAUUGUGCUUAAUAAACAGAAAAAUGGUUCAAAAGUAAUGUCGCAAGAAGCCAUUACUUGAUCUUUGUUUGUGCAUAAAACAACUGAUGAAAAAUGUUCUGGUUUCGUCAAUAUAUUUACAUCAAUAAUACUUAUUUUUGUUGGGCUUGCUUCAAAUCAGCUUUUGAAGCAGAAAAAGUUGAGAUGAGAUGGUACGAUGACAAGUUUGUUAGCCUUCAAUUAUAGGCAUACCUGGUGCACUCUAUUGCUCUACGGGCAGCACGUUUUUUCCUAUGCAGAAAACGAAUGCUGGAAAUUGGAUCCAAAUCACUCUUUCUCACUUAUGACUGAGGGGGUGCUCAUAGGGAGUGCUGAAAGAGGUGGCCGCAGGAGAAGAUACAAGGAUGGCCCCAAAAUUGGAAUACAUGCCACCGGCAAAAGCCAAGAGCCUUGAUUGAUCCUGCUACAAGGGGAACAAGUGAGUUCUUUGACGAGAAAGCCAUUCUCCUUUUCCCUUUAUUUUAAAACAUUUAGGUUUGUGAGCAUAUUAUGAGAACAAGCCUGGGUGGAGAGUUUUCAGUUUACCAUCUCCUUGCAGUCAUAUCAUUGUAGACCCAAAAAGGUGCGAAAGCUGAGAGUAGUGUAAAAUCAAUGCAUGUAAUAUGGAUCUGCAAUGAAGAAAAAUGUUAUAGGUAAAAUGCCAGAGUUUUUACAUGAGGUUAAUCGACUCUGAUCCAGACUUCACAGAGAGAAGUUCACAGCCUCAAAAAAGUUUUUGUAAAGUAUUUGAUGCAGUUCUGUAAGAACAGCUGAACAGGAGCUGCUAACUAGUUAAAAAACUGACAGUAUUGAAAUUUCCAAUAGUAUGUCAUGAUACUUACAAACUUGCUUUCUCUGAAGUAUCGGAAGAAUUCCUUCCACACAUCACCAUUAGCUAAACCAGCAUACAUUGUUAGGCCCAAACCUGCAACAAGUAAAAUCUGGUGUGCAAUGGAGUUACUAUUCAGUCAGCAGAAAAAGGAAAUUAUAAUCAGGUAAAUACGGUUAAAUAUGGUAGCAGAUAAACCAUCAAUCUGAACCAUUUGGAGUUUCACCUACAAAUUUUGUUUGUUUCCACUAUUUCAAACCAUCACUGACCAAAACUCUAGAUACCAAAAACUUCAAGGCAACGCUUUACAGAAACUAUAUUGAACGAUUGGGAUUCUUUGUUUGUCACUUAAACCUUUUCAAAUUGUAAUCCAAUGAUGGUCAAAAUCAACGAGUUAUGCAUGUGGUUGAUGUAAAAAAGUUACAGUAUCACUCAUAUAGUCAUAUACAUAAAAAUUUUUAUACAACUUUGCUAAGCAAAUCAAAAAGUUAUGUGCAUUAGAGUUUCUUACCCCAGCAGCUAUCUUUGAAUCAAGAAAAUUUAAAGGCCAUCUCCUGAUUUCAUCUUCUCCAAGGGCUGGUGGAGGUGGCUUCCAGAAAACGAAGUAUGGAAUAAGGGCAUAUGCACCGCCAAAGAAUGAAAGCACUAGGAAUGGCCAGACAGGUAUCUUGCUUCUUGAACUGCAUUACCAGUUUGAACAUUUCAAAUUAUUUAACAUAGAGGAAAGUUGACAAAUUUGAAGAUUAAGGUGUAUGAUUUUCACUGGUUCAACUAGUGAUUCAACAAUAACUAUGCACAAAACUGAAUAAAGACAGUCCCAGCCUCAAUUCUUUAAAGGUAGUUGGGGUUUGCACUGUAUCAUAGUGAACCCUUGAUAGCUAAUCAGUUAUCUGUUUUAGCACUUGUAAAAAAGAAGAAUCACCAUAACAAGGCCAAGCCCUUAAAGGACGCUGUAGCUGAGUUUCAAUCAGUAACUCCAUGUAUAUCUAUAAAAAUACAUUUAGUGCAUAUAAGCUCAUUAAAAGUAUAAAUAAAAAAACAUUAACCUUGUUCCUAAAUCUUUUCUUCUCUAUUUUAUUAAAAAAAAUAAUCAUCAUUUGCAGCUGCUUCUUACGACAAAACUGCAUCUGGGGAAGUUACUUAUCUAGUGAUCUUAGUAUACUUUAGUAGGAACUCAUUAGUUCAACAACAAUGAAUUUAUCAUGUAUCUAUCUGAAACCCUUUUGCUUUUACCAUCUUGUAACUUCCCUCUCCCGACUUCUCUCCUAUUUAAAUAUAUAGUAUCCACAAUUCUAAUUCCUGCCUAAAAUUCAAAAUUGAUAAACAUCAAUAUCUCUCUCUAAGUUCUAAAAUAUAUAUUUGUUAUCUUAAGAGAUUUUCUUCUGUGGACUUCUAUCAAUUGUUUCUUAUAUAUUUCUCUCACCGAAGGAGAGAAAAUAUGACUAGAUCCCAAGUUAUGGUAAAGUCUUCAAAAAAAAUCAUAUGUCGCCAUUAUGUAAAGUUGGUACAAACAAAAGAUCAAGGUUUUAAAGCUGACGGGGACAUUCUAGUUUUUCUUUGGAAUAGGAUCCGCUGCCAUCCCAACUAGUCCCGACACUUGGGAUAGGGGAUGUCCUAAAACACGCCGAUCGGAAUGCUGAGAUGAUGGCAGGACGGUCCCAUCCCGAUACUUGGGACGGUACCCCAUCUAGACAUCCUGACAUUCCAUGAGGAUUUGAAACCGGAAGAAGACUAAAUAUAUGCCUAGUACUUUUACUAUGCCAUUUUAAACACAGGAUAACAGCUCUAAAACAAGAAUCCAGCAUCAUACAGACCAUCUCUCAUUUUUUUUUUAAAGAACUCCAAUAGGAUUAAGAGAUGAAUAAGUGGUCACUAUUGCAUCGUGUAACAUAUAAGAAAAGAAAGAACAACUUUGUUUAGACAGAGUUUCUUCUUCAGUAGUCACCUUCUACCAGUAGGAACUAACAGCAUACUAUAAAUGAAAGGCCACAGUCCCAUGAAGUACCAUAGAGCCACAAGUACUUCGUUCAUUUGGAAGCCAUCAUCGCCUUUAAGAUUCAGCAGUUUUUGCAGAUAAUACACAUCGCUAGCCUGAAAAUUUUGAACAAGUAUAUUAUUAAGAAAGAAGGUAAUAAUGGCACAUCUACUAGUCCAAGACACAAGUCCUCAGAUGAUAUUAAAGGAACAGCGCUGUGCAUAUGUAGGCAGUAGGCAAUAUAUUUGAAAGCCCAGCAGAACAUUAUGUGAGCUUUUAUACUGAAUGUUUAUCAACGGAUAAGGAAAAUAGAAAAAUACGUAUUUUAUUAUUUUAGAAAAUCCAUUAAUAGUAUAAUUUUGAAACAGAUCAAGAAAAAUACUUAUAUGUUCAUAAAUCCUUUUCCCCCUUCUCACCAAAUCACAUCCUGUAACAUGUAUCCGUAACCAACAUCGCCAUGCACGUCAAUGCAGGAUUUCGUGAUGCAAAUUUAAAUAUGUAUAAUAAAAUAACAAGUCAAACAUAAAAAUCAAAGUUUCAAAGUUAGUUAUUAACCAGUCAAAAAUUUUGUCAUCCAAAAUUUUUAGGUGUCUAAAGGGUAGAUCUCACAAGCAUUACCCUUGCUAAAGCACUCAUCCAAAAUUCAAGCAUUAGACCAUUGUCUCUGGUGUCCAUAAAGCACCACAACAAUUCAAGACAUAAUAAUAUUCUGAAUAAGUUAAAUAACAGCAUUCUUAUAUCGAGCAAUCUCUAGAAUUUAACCUAGUUUAACAAAAACAAACUAAAAUAUCAAGAACCAAAUCAUCCUGUAACCAAGAAAGAAUACCGGAGUCUGGUUCGGCGCGAGCUGGAAAACGUAAUACAUGAGCCCGGCCCACAAACCAAAGAGCAGGACCGAAGUAGUCCAAUCGUUCCCACUCCCACCACCAUCUCCACUCCUUUCGGCGGUGGGUCCUUUCUCGUCCAGAAAUGAGCCUCCAAAAUUCUUCCUUUCGGUGGAAUCUCGACAGACUUGGAGUAGACCCCUGCUCCCAACGGAGGAGAACGGAUGGCUUAGUCUGAGACCGGUUCCAGGGUUGAGGGUUUUAGGCUUGAGGAUGGAGUGGGUUCUGUGGAAUAGCUUCUGGGGGUGGUGGAGGGAGGGAAGAGGAUAAUGGCAUGAGAGGAUAGGACAGGAUUUGGAUGAGAGCAUGCUGGCCUUCCAAUCUGAACGAGGGAGGGAGUUGAGCACCCGAGUUAUAGCGUGAUCCGGAAACUAAAAGAAUCACGCGUACUGCACGUGCCAAACUUAUGCCACUGUUUCGGCAAUAAAUUUGUCGAGGCUAGUUAUAAAAUAAUUUGAGAGUUGUUAAAAUAAUCUGUCGUAAGUUAAAACUUCGCAUAAUAAGCGCUUAACGAUCAGAGCCUAUUAUGCUUCUUACUUUUGUUGGAUUAGGCAAGUGAAAAUAAAGUCUUGGACUUAUUUAUAUAAAAUAUUUGGUCAUCAGAUUUUACUUAAUUGGUUUUAUGUAAAAUUUCAAAUGGUUGAAAUAUAAGAAAAUAGAUAGAUGUAAAAAAAAAACAAAAGGAGAUACAAAAAGACUUGCUUGGUUAUUUUCUCAUAGAAAUAGAUUUAUGAAAACUAACAAGCCAUAAAACCAAGCCAUAAAACUUCAAAAAUGAGUAUAAAAAUUUCUACUUUUAAGAAAUCUCACCAUCAACCCAAAUUUAUUCUAAUAAGGUAUCAUGUUUUAGUAAACCAACCAAGACAAAUCAUUCAUGAUGACCCAAACCAUUUCAAAGAUGCAUCCCCAAUUCCCCAUCAACCCAAAUUAUCAUAUCAAUCAAUACUGGCAAAUUAUGUAGGAUUGUGUUCCAUGUGAUCUCAUUCCUACUUAUUAUAGCAAAUCUAUUCAUGAAAAUAUCUGCUGCUAGCAUUUCGAGAACUUAAUGUCAAAUAGCCAUCCUCCUUUAUUUUGGGAGAUAUUUUAGUAGGUCAAUAUUUUUUUCAAUACAACUAUAUUCGUUCAAUUCCUUUGCUCUAGAUGCAAAGUUGGUUUUUAUUGGUCAAUCAUGAUUCAUUGUAGCUUCUUAUCAUAUGCAUCAUACAUGCUCGAAGAUAGUUAAACAAAAAAGCCCUAUAGCGCCCACACUGUAAUGCUCACCAGGCUAUGAUCUAAAUCUUCUAACUUUCACCCUAAACCUUUUUGGAAAAGUGAGUGUGUUAUUGGUUUAGGAAUACCUAAAGGGAAUGUGUCGAUUUAGAACCUAACAUAUUUUUAGCAAUUUUAACACUCAAAUUUUAUGCUAGCCUAUGUUUAUAGUUUAUAGCAUAUCCGUAUUUUUAACAUAUGGAUAUUUGCUUGAAACAGAUACAAAUACAAGUAAAAUAUUAGUUAUAUUUAUAUUUUCUCCAUCCAAAUAUGGAUAUACGUUGAAUAUAAAUUAAAUAAAAAUCAAAUUUUGAAUAGAAUUCAAUAAUGAAAGCCAAUAGAAAUAACAUUAUCAUAAAGCAUGCAAACGAAAUCCACUAUUACGAUUGCAUAAUUGAUGCACAAUAACUAGAUUUUAAUCUCGAAUGUGGUUAUUAAACUUGCACAAACAACGAUUUGGCGAAGGAUCUCGAUCACUGAUCUAACUAUAUUUUAUAUUCAAAAAAUAUUAAAAAUUAUAUUAUUAAAUUAAAAUAUAUAAUAUAAAUAUAUUAGAAAUUUAUUAUAUACAAAUGUUACUCUUUAAUUGCAGCACAAACAAAUAAAUCAUGAAUUGUCUAUAUUUCAGAAAACUUGCAACAAAAAAUACUAAAAAAAUAUAGGAAAAUGUUUAAGUUAUUGAUGUUUUUUAAUAUUUUAAAUGAAAAGGUUUUGAAAAUAUCAUAAAGAGUAAAAAGUAAAUUAUACAUUUCCAUUUUUUAUCUAAGGACAAAGAUUGAAUUUUUAUGAAAAGAAUUAAUUAUUAAAGUAUAAAAAUCAAAAUAUAUUUCAAAUGGGUAUAUUUUAUAACAUGAAUAAGUACAAUAAAUUCUGAUUAUAUAACAAACUAAAUAUUAUAAUGGUGGCUGAAUAGUUGUUAACUAUCAAAGAGAUCCCUAGUUAAAUUCCUUCCACAUGUGGUAGAUAAAUGAUUUGGAUAUGGUCCGAUAUGAUCGGACUGUUUUCAGCCCUAAAAUGAGUAAAGAAUUCAAGAAGGAGAAGGCUAGCUUGCUGGAGUUCUUUUCCAGAGUCUCGAUCAGGGUCAUCUGCCUCUGCUCUAAAAACAAAUGGAAGUGCAAAAAGAACAGACAAUCUAAAACCACCUAUAAUAUAAACGAACUGAUUUUAACACUGGCAUAUAUAGAAAAGAAAAUCUUCAGUAAAUAUAAUCCCUGGGAAAUAAAAUCCUCAGUAACAGAUACUCAUAUCAGCGAUAACACUAGAUCAACAAUUAAAGCAAUAAAGCAAAAGUUCAAACUAGAGUACACCACUCCGCGAGUUAUCAACCAAACAAAAAAUCAAACAAAAUAUGUCUUCUGAAACUAAUGCACCAAGUCAGGUAAUCUAUUGGCUGCAGAAAUCCCUAAUUGUGGAUAAACCCUAGAAAUAGCUGCAGGGGGUUCAAAAAACCCUCAAGAUACCCAAUUAGAAAUAGGCUGUUAUAAGGAUAAAAACUUUCAAAAAUGUUCUGCCUGGAAAAACAACUCUCAAAAGAAAGCCUGAAUCACCUACCAACCCGUCAUUGCCACAGUUCACCGGAUCUGAAAGCGACUCCUAGUUUAUCGGAGUUAGAAUACGAAUGGUUCACUUCACAACAUACCUAGCAUCGGAACCCUAAUUUCUAGAUCUCCAGGGAAAAAAUAAAAGAGGAACAUCCACUGAAUUCCCAAGACGAAAACCUAAUUUUCCUGCGAGAGAACUCAAGAACGAUCUCAAGAAGGACAGAGACAUCGAAGGAGAAUGGAUAUAACUCAUACAUUUCUUGCGAGAUCUCAGGAAGCAUCAAGAACGAUCGAAGGAUGAGGCCAAGAACUCAUACCUUGACCCGAAGAAAAGAAGAAGAGCAUCGCGUUCCUAUGAAGAGGAGAUUCUUCUUCUCCAGAGAAGGGCAGACGAAGGAGACCGAUCCGAUCGGGGUCUCCGUCGAGAUGGGAGCUUGGGAAAAUCGGAUGUGUCGGAAGAGAGCAGAAAGAAAGAAACCGACCCCGUUUCGACUUUCGAAAGCGGGAAGGAGGGAGAGAACCGCGAGGGUCGGAAGCAUGGGGGUCCUUUUAUAGGCUACGAUGGAUACGGUGUGAGUCGCAUAGAAAGACGUUAGCGCCCGGCUUCCGGCAUGGAUUGGGAGCGGCAUAUGGUGUGAGUCGUAUAAACGACAUGUAAUGCUGUAUAAUAUUUUUUUUUCUUCUAUAAAGUCGGUUAACCCAUGGCCGAAUAUGAUGGGAUUAUUGUUAAAGUAAAAAAUAUAAAAUUGUACUUCAAAAAAACGAGAUGAAAAAUCAUGGUGCAAUUAAUAAUGAUGGUGUGCUAUAUGCUCUCACAAUAUUAUAUACACCCGCCAUCAUGUGAAAAAGUUUGAAUCCUCUACGAUAAGAUAGUGACAUUGCCGAAUUUUGUAUUAUCAUUGAGACAGACGGUUCGCAUUAAUUCUGAGAACACAUCUCCGUAUUUUUCAGCACAAUAUACAACAUGUUAUAGAUGUGAAAGAGAGCCGUCCAUCUCUGAAAUGGAUGAUGCGGUGGCUAUCUACAAUGAUAUCAUACUCUAUGGUGUAAAAGUCGCGCUGCAGAGAAUCCGGCUCAUAUGUGAAACCCAAGAUGCAACUGCUUCCGGCACUGCUUCCGGCACCCUUGCUUUACGUAAGUCAUUUUAUGUAGCUGUUCUAAACAAUGAUAGCUCCCAGGAUAUAUUGGAACAUAGCUCAGGCUGAUGAUAUAUUGGAACAUAAGACAUUAAAUCUUUGUUGCUUUCUGAACAUAACUCUCAGUUAUCAGCCAUUCAGUGUCAGGCUUCAGUUUCUAAAGUCAUGCUAUCUUGUAAUAAUUUUGGCAAAGGUUAUGUUUGGUGUUCUGCAUAGGAAUUUGCAAAACUUGCAUGCCGACCAUCUAACUGAAAUGAUUGAAGGUUCAUAAGGUUAAGGUUCACUCUCAUGUAAACAUCAGUCCUUGAAGACACGAAAAAAUAAAAAAGAGCAGAUAAGACAAUGUGCCUUAAGAAUAGCGCACCUGGGAGUGAAAUUCAACUCUGCAUCAUAUACUUUAAUGAUCUGAUAUCAUGAACAGCAAACGGAAGCCUUUAUUACAUCCAAGGUCAAACUUCUAUUCACUAAACAAAAUAGUUUAUCCUUUAGAGUAUUAUGGGCUUAAAAUAUGGAUUUGGUAGUAGCUAUGAUAUCGAUAUUUUAACCCAGGGAAAAGAAAAGGAGUGGUGCAAUAAGAUCUUAGUAGCUUGACUCUGGUACCUACAGUGAUAUAUCCACUUUGAAAUCUUUCUAAAAUCUCAAACUUGCACCCACUAUGCAAGUGUUUUCUUAUUAAAAGUGUUUCUAAAGUAUCUGCUUCUUAGGAUCUGCAACCACUCCUGCACCAUUACCUGCUUAUGAUUCUGGCAGUUCAGAGUAGAAUUUGCAAUAUUCACCCCAAGAUAUGUGGAGUAUUCUGAAUUUCAAAUGGAGACAUAUACGGAAUAAAAAUGCAACCUUCUGUUGUUCUUGAAUUUGAACGUGCUUCCUAAGCCCUUCCUCAUGAAAAAGGUUUCUAAACUACCGAUUCCCUACGUUACUCCCACUCCUGCACUUGCUUACCCUGCAGCUGUCUCUUUCUAUAUAUUUUUACAUCAACAGAUAGUGACAAUGAGGUAAUCCGAAAUCAAAUUAUUAUCCAAAUCCAAAUUAAUGGAAUCAUCAUCCAGGUAUGGAAUCUGUAAUCUCUCCUUGCCGAGCAGAGAAAUGUGACCUCCAGGACCAGCACCGGAUCACAUGUUUCAGCGUUGCUCCGGUUCAAAGCUGCUCAGCCAAAGAACAAUUCAGUCAAAGAGGAGGUCAAGGGAGGCCGCAAUGAACUAAAACGAUAAUUUCUACGAAGAAAAGGCUCACCGACAAUAUUGACCAUGUCGUUAACCUAGACCAGCCUUGCAUCCGUCUAGUAGUCAUUGGACAAUGCCUCCAAGACUCGCUUUCUCCAGCCACACCUAAAAUAUCCGUCUCUACCAACAAUGCCAGCCCACUCUCACCUUCUCUCCCAUGGGACACGCAUCUCAACACUCUGUCAUACCAUUCCCCCUAAACGUAGGUUAGCAAUAAUGAAAAACAAUUCAAGCAAUAUAGGAGCAAUUUCAGUUUUGCACACCAGGCAUAAUCCAGAAUUAUAAUAAAAUCUAGCAAGAAAUUCAAGUUACACAAAAACCAAAUUUUUCAUAUUGGCCAGUACUGGUACAUUCCAACCAUACCGUAUUAGUACCAAUACAUCCCAACCAUACCGUAUCGGUACGGAAUCGGUACAUGGUAUAGAAAACAUAUGUACCGGUACUAUAAUAAAAUAGUACUAAUAUGGAAUCCGGUAAUGAGAUAAUGAACCUUGUACAAGAAUGUUAAAAUUUACUUUUAGCUAGCAUAGAACAUAGAAGACGCUUGGAGCUUAGAUUCACAUCAAGUAUGUUCAAUUUGUCUGCAGGUGCAAACAACUACAGGUGAGGCAAUAGAUAGAAACAACAGAUGGCAUCAUUGGUUCAUAAUCAAUAAGCAUGAAUAAGGUAGUUCAAAAGCACCAGUAUGUUAAAUGUUCUGCUGUUAUACAUUACUUUCUGACACACCAAGUAUCAUCCAUGGAUGUGUAAGCAGCAACUUUGCCCCCUAUCAGAGCGGUGCCCUACCAUUUUGCACACCACAAUUAAGAGAAAAUGUUUCUCAUCCAGCAGGACGAAAUGCGACAGAAACAUUAUUCCAGCUUAUUUGUAAAUGUAAAUGAUGACUGUAGAAACACCAGCAAAAUAUCUCAUCAUAAGAAUAGACAAACCCAGGUUCUGAUUGUAUCUCCAGCAUAUAUUCAUAUAAUUACAUAAGUGAGAAAACAAUUCCUUGCUCUUCCAUCCUCCUCAGCAUCACUCCCUCUCACACCAUCUCACCUUCACAAAACUAUAGCAAAGGAAAAUCAAACAGAACCUGCUGCCAGAGCUAAGGCUUUGAUCCUUCAGAAAAUAUUGCAAAACCAACACAGAUUUAGACCCGCUCUUACAAGUCAGCCUUGAUCAAUCAAGAAUCUGCUGAACUAGCUUGAAUGCAGCAAAACCAUUUUUUCUGCAGAAUCGGAGGAGUUGAUGAUAAUAUUAGAUGAUUAUAAUGAAGAAAGACGAAUUAAAAAGCUUGGAGGUUGCAUCCAAUCUUAAGCUGUAUAUGACAGGGAUUGUCAGUAUUCACCGAGCCAACAUAGAUCAGGUGGCUUAGAGCUGAAUUGAUCAUCUAGAAUAAGAAAAAGGAACUUACAGCAUUCACAUUAGGCUUGGUAGCAUAAGGUCCCUGUUUAAAGGUUGCCUCCUCCUUUCCAGGAGAGUCCUGGCCUCGUGUGUUGCCACCUGUCUUCCUCUCAUCUCUGGCUUUAUUGAAGAUCACAGUGAAUCCCUCUGCAGAAGCAGGGUCAUUUACAUCCCACUCACCAAACUUUGGUAACGGCCGACCCUUGUCCUGCUGGAAUCCAAAUCACUAAUAUCAGUAACAAUGGAGAUAUUUUUAGAGGUGUGACAACUGAAAAAGUAUUUACAUUCAAUUUCUUUUCCCUCACUAAAUAACAGUAUCAAAAUAUAAGAACCGAAAAUACUAAAACAGGUAGAGUACCCAGAGCCAAAGAGCCAUAUUUUCUUCCAAUAAUGCAGCAUGCAGGAAAAUCUUUUAUAUAAAAAAUAGUAGGCAUUCUAGAUUCUGUUAUAAGCAGUUGUACUAUGGCAUUUAGUAUUCUGUAUAUGUCCUUAAGUUUGGAUCAAACAUUUUAGUCCCUUUUGUCUCAAAUCUCAAUAAUGGUUUUCUUUAUGACUCGUUGAGUAAGAAACGAAAUAGUCAAGUGUCCAUCUACAUUUGUCAAACUUGUGACAGAUGUGCCUAAGAAUGGCCAAGAUACUUGCAUUUCAGUUACUGUUUAGCAUCAUUGUGAAACCCAUCCAGGUGACUCUCCACAAUGGACCUAUCAUAUAGCCUAGGCAUAUACACAAACACCCAGGUUCCUAGCCAACUUGGAACAAAGCCAUCAGCCACCCUGACAAUCAACUUUACUUGUACAAAUCAGAUUUUGUACUAUAUUUAAUCAACUAAUAUUCUGUAAUACCUUAAAUAAUAGGCAGUGAACAUUUUUCUAACACAUACUAAUCAAAUACUUUCGAGAUAUAUUGUAAUUUGAAUCUAUACUAAAUGCAUAAAUAAAACAUAAAAGAAGUAAUAGCAUAUAUCAUUGCUGGUUCAGGUCAAAUAUUAGACAAUAUUUAGCUGGUUCGGUCAUCCAAGUUGCUAGAGGUUGAGUUUGUGUCUCCAAUUUUUUAACAGCACUUUUGGAAGACACAGAUUGAGAUACAUUAAAUUGCCCCACGAGGAAAACAAGAUUGUGUAGCUGCAAACACACAUGGAGACAUAUAUAUAUAUAACACACACACACAUCAGAAAGUAUAUGUCAUUUUACAUGAUCUCCAGCAUCCAAGAUGCUUGCAAAUCAAAAAGCAAAUAUUUUGAAGAAUCCUACUUGGACACAAACAUAUAGGUCAAUACAGGGACCACCAUUAAAAAUUGGCCGCCUAGAUGUUACCCACCUGCAGGUCAAAGGAGACACGGUAAACAAAAAAGAAUAGGUGCCAGCAGAAAGGGGCAAAAAGCCAGAGGAAAAGGUGGCUAUGGGCUACAAGAAAAAAGAGUAUUUGUUGUUAUAUCCCACAAAUAUAACAGCAGAGGUAGCCGUUAAAGGAAUGAUUGGUGAAUAAGGAUUCAUAAAGCUGACUCCAAAUAGUUGGAACAAGGAUUAAUAAUUACAAUAAUAUCUUAAACCAUUACAUACAUUCAGUCCACAUAUCCACAUAUACACCUAAUAAUCAAGCCUAUAACCAAUCAUUUUUCCCUCGUAGUAAGUAAUAUACCUUAUUAGUCCGUAUGCUUACAUAAGAUGCAUACAAAGUUAUGCAGAACCAUCAAUAUGCAUUAAACAAAAAACACAGCAAGAGAACCACAUUAGGUUCAAGGUAGAAACCAAACAUCGAACAUGUGCAACUAGAUUUGCAAUCAUUACUCAUACUUUACACGAUUAAGCAGACAGCUGCUUAGGCAUUUAAGCAACAGUAACAAAUGCUCAAGCAAGUACCACUUAACUGGUCCAAAAGUAGGUAGCUGUUUAAGUGGCCACUUAAGCAUUUAACUGACUGCUUCAAUACGAGUGUCUAACUACCUAGGCUUAUAUUAUUUAACACCCAAAAGAACGAGAGUCAAAACAAAAUAUUAAUGUUGUCUUAAUAAAAAAUUCGAAUAGAACCGUGAUGACAAGUUACAUCUCUAGGUAAUGUAAGCAGGACACUUCAAUUUCAAGGUAUCCAAGAGUGUCUUCUUUGUGCUCAAGUGUCUAGGAAGUGUUGACACUAUAGACUGCCGCACUGUCCUGAACCAUCUAGUACGGCGUGUACCAUACUGUAUUGGGUUAGAAUCAGUAUGAAACUCACGUUUAGGUUACAGGCUCCAGACCCAAGCAUAUCAAGAUGUACCCCGAGGUGUGUAUAAACCCAUACCAAGAUGUACCAGGAUAAAAAGUAAGACAAAUGGUUUAAUGGUUGUUUCGGAAUAGGAUGGUAUAGCGUACCAUAACGAACUAUACUAUAUCGAACUAGUAAAGUACUGGUACAGUAUGCGACACCGAGAUUGUGAACUUUGGCUAACCCUCCAAGGUUCCUGGAAACUAAAGUGUUCAAGCACUAUUAAGGAACAUGGUAGAUACAAGAUUGUAAAGUAAUAAUGAUAAAUAGGGAUAAUUACAUGCAGGAGCUAGUUUACCAACAUAAAUCAAGAUAAUGGUUUCUCAGUAAUUUGGAUAGAUAGCAAUCCUAUGUUAUCCUCAAAAUAAAUAUGCAAAAUGCUAAAUAGAAAAGAAAAAGCUCACACAUAGAAUAGAUAUACCUAUAUAUAUUCCCUCCUCCAAAAAAAAAGAUUUGGUCUAAUUUUCAAAACUAGCAUAGAUAGAACCAAAGUUCUCUAUCUCGGUACUGGACCCUGUACUGGUACCAUUUUAGUCAGUAUUGGUACGCCCCAUAUGGAGAUCAGUUUGGCGCACCAACCCUCGAUAGGUCCCUUGUACCAUGUACUUGUUAAUAAUAUGGUAGGUACCAGUACCGACCAAUAUGGUGUGCCACGUAUAGAACAAUAUCCUAAUGAGGGUGAGUCUCCCACCAUUGCAGUGCCUGGAGGUGGUCCAAUGUACACAACCUUAUCUUGCAUAUGGAAAGACAAUUUCUGUGUUUCGAACCCAUGACACUCAGGUCACAAUAAAGCAAUCUCACUAUUGCAACAAGACUUACCCUCAAUAGGCAAUCAAAAUUAAAUUUAAAAUAGUCCGCAUAAAUGUUCUCUUAUUUGCAUCCUAGGUCUUGAGCUAUAGCCAAAAUUGAUAACUCAAAAGGCAACUUACUCAAAUUGGGCCCUGGCUUAUAUACAACAUGAUCAAAACUCCAAGUACAAUAAUUCUACAUCUCACCUUAACCAGGCACAUUUGUGAGAAUUGCAAAAUUUUUGAGGCUCGAAGACAAAAAUCAUGGAGUCAAUUCAGCAAAUUUCAAAUAAUGAUGCAUGUAACUGGAUAAAUUAGAAACCUCUGCAAUGCGCAUGCUCUAGGAAAGGGGCAAUUCAGAACUUCUAGUCACAAAUAAUAUUAGGCUGAUUAAUCUUCUUAUAGUUUUUAUGCUUCUCGCAUAAACAUUAGUACAAAGAUAAAAGGACAAUCAGCUCCAUCAUAAUCCCCGUGGUGUGAAAUCCUAGUCCACCUCAUUCAAUUAAUUAUUAUUAUUUUAAAUAAAAAGUUUCAGUGGGACAUAUUUUAAAAACUUCUGCAGCACAAACCGCAAGAUCCACCGCUACAACUCUUUGAUGAAAUUAGGAAACACAAUCUCUCCUCUGGAUGAAACUAAAAGAACUUGUAAUGGUUGUCAACUUCAGCCCUAUCAAGUAUAUCUACAAACAAAACUAGAUUGAUUUUUUUAUGCAAGAAAUCUAUAUUACAGAUACAAAUACAAUUGCCAUGCAAUUAGAUUGAUUUAUUUCACUUCAUCUAUAAGAACCCCGAUGUUUUCUUGUAAAACCGGUCCCAUCUUUGCAUAUGAUUAAUGUUUCCCCAGUAAUUUCUCAAAAACAAAGGAAGUUUGGAUGGAUACCCUUUGGAAAUUAAAAUUUUUAAUUAUUUUCCAAAAUAUUGAGCAUUCCAUUGACAGAUUUAAAAGUUGACCACGAUGCAAAAUGCACUUGCUCACUUACUCUCAACCAUCUCAAGCACUAUUUACAAAUAUAGAAGCAUGCCCAUGCAAAAGAUCAUAAAGAUUAGCAUGUCUAACACAAACCCCUAGGCAAAACACCAAAAAGUUUCUCAAACGAAAAACAACUGAUCAUGAAAUUUCAACUGACAAUACCCAUAGAGCAAAUCAAAGUUAUAUACCGAAUAACUGAAGCAUAAUUAUUGCAUAAGCUCUAGAAUAAAUAUGAUUUAUACAUCAAUUUGAUUAUGACACAUAUGGAUAUGCAGAAACAAAAUCCAGCCAACAUUUCCAUGCACAUUAAGAACUAUAAUGAUGUUUCAGAAUGCUCCAAAUUCAGAUACCAUACAAAAAUGGAUCUUUCUACAGCAUUUAAAAUAACUAACAUAAAAAUCCUCCUCCAAAACCUAUACUGAAGCAUCAGCAAACCCUAAAAAUUUUACCACUAUAUAGUUGUUCACCAAAUCCAAUCAAUUAAAACAACUAACAAGGAGAAAUCAAGGAAGAAAAUUGUUCUUUCCAAAAUAGUUUAAGAGAAAGCCCCAAUACAACAACUCAUCAUCAAAUCAACCACAAAAACGAUGGAAAACAGAAAAAAAGCAAUCGAAAUGGCAUCAAUUUUUCAGCGUCUAAUGAAUCCAAAACCAUCAACAAAACAGGAAACCCACGCAUCGAUCGCCCAAACCACAUGGGACCAAAACAACCCAACGAGGGAUCAAACCCCUCCCAGCCAAUCGGAUCAGACAUCCAAAGAACAAAGAGACCACGAGGAAUUCAAAUUCUUAAUCAGAAUAGCAUGAAAAGGGGAAGAAAUCGGCCCUUACCGACAUGAAUUCUUCCAAGAAACCAAUAAGAAAGGAAGAGCGGGGGUGUGGGGGUGGUGGUGGGUGUGAAGGGAUGGGGGAGAAGCGAAGAAAACGAAAUGAGAGAGAGAGAGAGAGAGAGAGAGGAGUGUCCAAAGUUUUAAUUUAGUAUUGCGAGAGAUAUUUUAUUAUUUUUGGGUUUUAAAAAUUCGAUUUGAGGUAAGACUAUUCGUGCGUGUGAGCUGGAGGUGCGUGGGAAUGCCCCGAGGCCGCCGUCAAAAAUAACGGCGACGGAGGUUGGGAUUCCGCCAUGUGGGUCGCAGAGAGAAAGCUGGGGCGUGGGAUGCGGCUGACGAAACGGAACGGAACGGAGGCGGCAGGUUGGGCGUGUGGGUGUCGUCAUAUAUUCGUUUUCCUUUUUCUUUUUGGGUAAUUUAGUGUUAAAUUUUUUUCAUAUUUUUAUUUUCAUGCAAGUAGGAAGGUUGUUCGAGGGAUGAUACUAAAGGACAUCUGCUUUGUCACAAAUUAUCCCUCCACCCACAUGGCAAAAGGGGAUUGGUGAGAUUAUGAAUUGGUAUAAUACAUAAGGAAGUAGAUGGGAUUUUGAGUUACCAUGCCAGUUACUGUGUGACUAAUGGGCGUCUCAAAAGCAUGCUUCAAUAGAACAUAAAAAGACUAGGAAAUGUUAACAAUUAUUGGAGUUAAAAGGAGGAUUAUUGACAUACAUGAGCUAAAAUCUUAACAAUAUUCCUACAUGAGCUAUAAGGUACAACAUAGGAUGGCAAUGGAUCAGAUAUGGGUCAGAUAGGCCAUUACUCGUAUCUAUCCCAUACUUGCCUUGAGACAAAUCUGAUGGUAAGAGUUAGACACAGCCAGUUGGAUAGAUUGGAUAGGUANNNNNNNNNNNNNNNNNNNNNNNUAAUAUAUAUAUAUAUAUAUAUAUAUAUAUAUAUAUAUAUAUAAUCUCAAGAAAGAAAUUUAUGAAGAAUUAUAUUUAUAUAUAUAUAUAUGUAUCGAGUUCGAUGCGGGUUUUAUUAUUAUCCACCCCGCCUCGGAUCUACUACAGGUUGGGUAAAACCUAUUCCAAUAGGAUCGGAUAUAUGAUGAAGCCGAGUAAAUGGUCCUUUUCUAGCCAUUUAUCCUUGAAAGAAUUAUUGACAAUUUUGUUUUGCAGUGAUGUAACUAAUGCAAGUGAAACAAGAUAGCCCUCAAAAGAGGAGAAAAACGGGCAACUACAACUUCUUGAAAGUUCUCAUAUGUCUGCUUUUUCUAAUUUCUAGCAGUUUUCUCUGCUCUAAUCACUUUAAAGACAUGUAUCUAGUUUUAUAUCCUCUCAUUUGUUAUCAAAUACAAUUUUCCACUUACAGGCAAUAAAAUUUCAGAUAUAAAUAGGCUGGGUCAAUCAAUUUACAAGUAACCAAAAGAGUAUAAAUACAAGGAAAGCAUACCUAAACCUGCAUAAAGGAAUAGCUAGCAAACAUUAUAAAAAAAAAGCAACAGAGAAAAAGCAUCAUCAUACACACCAAGAAUUUAGACUUGUAAUGCUUUUACGAGUGUGCCAUAUCAUUAUUAGACCUCUCCGAGAAUAAGGCAUGUGGGGGCAUAUGCCAAUACGUGUUAGCUCCGCUGGUUGCACCUCUCUCUCCUCAGGACAAGUUUAGACCCCACUGGUGGCAAAUCAGCACCUGUAUUUCUUGUAAAAAAAAAAGUCAGGAGUCAAAAGCAUCAUAUAGUGGGUCAUCAUGGGUGAGGCAACACAAAAUAAUCAAUUUGCAAUCUAACCAUAACAAUAACAACCUAAGGACUUACAGUGCAAGUGUGAUGUACAGGCAAUCCUUAAGCUCAUCUGAAAUUUGUCUUUUCUAUGAGCUGUGAUCGACAAACUUACAUAAGCUUAGGAAAUGAUAGAAAGGUUAAAGCAAAAUUGAAUUGAUAAUAAAAAGGUAUAUACAAGAAGGACCAGCUUAUUCUGCAGUUUGUACAUAUUGCUUAUUAAGCUCCAAGCGACCACUUUUGCCACCAAAAUCCUAGCCAAAGGCGGUCCGGUCGGAUGGGUCAUCAUUUCAUGCAACAUUGACAUAUGAUUAUUGCAGACAAGCUUUCUACUUAAUCCACUUAUAAUGGCAUCUAAAUGACACUGCUGGGUGACAUUUGCAAACGUUUCAUAGAAUUAACAAGUUUGAAAGAGUUGGUCAUCUGACAUUUCUCAUGGUACUUCAUACUUGGUAAUAAGCAUAUUGAAAGUCAGGUCUUCAGGAAUUAAUGACACCUCCUCCUCACAUCUUCUCCAAAAAAUUUACCCCAAUAUCCAUCAUAUCAGACUUGCAAAGACCGAGAAUUAGUGAAUGAUAUGCAAGAUCAUCAGGCGAAAAGCCCAUCCCCUAUCAUUGUUUUGUUCAGGUUAAAUGAUCUUAUUAGUUGGCAUUAUUUUUGAUAUAUCCAUGCACUAGAAUGUUAUAAGUAGCCAAAAUUUAUCAAUUUUUUAAAUAAAUUGCCCAGGAGAUUCAUAGCAGCAUCCAGCUUGAAGCUUCCAAUAAGCAUUCAACAAAGCACCAUUAAGUAAUCUCAUCAGGCAGAGCUGGGUGCAGACAGCCCAUAACUUCACUCAGCAAUGCCAACACGAUGGGCAGCAGCUGUCCGUCUCAAAGAUGGGCAACGUGUCACCUAGCCGAGCCAAAAACACGCACUGGUAUCUGUCGUGCAAAACACACCGCAACGGGAUUCAACUCUGUGGUGUGCUCAUGGUGCGUUUUCUUAGGAAACGACCACCUGAGACAAAAUGUAACCCGGAAAAUAUUUACAUCAGUUCUCUCACCCUACAAGAAUUGUAUGCCUAACUCUAAUAGACAAAGUCAAUAGAAAGUUUUGACAUCUGGACCAAGCCAUUUAAGCUAAUAUAUAUAUAGAUAUAUAUAUAUAUAAGCCAACCAAUUAUUCAUUUGAACAGCCGCUAGCCUCCACAAUCUGUGGGGCAGAUAAAGGGUGUCUAAUACAAAAAGGAAAAGAAAAAAUAUACAUAAAGGCAGGCUACUGUUUUUCAAGCAUAUACACUCCUCAAAAUUAACUGUAGAGCCUAUAUCCAAAAACAAAAAGGACUCCAAGCCCUUGGUAUUGCUGUCAGAGUGCAGAAUAUCUUCCCUGACUAUAAGGUAGCUAGGAGUUCGAGGUUAGAUUAGUUUUCCCUUCUCCAAAAACUUCUCCUAUGCCAGCCAUUUCAGAGAGACAAGCUUUUGACAUCAGCUUCAUCUGAUUGCCUCUGAAACCUGCGAGACCAUCACUGGUGAUUACACAAUCAAUGAACUGCAAAAUAUGUUCAAAUAAAGACUAAGCACAUCCCAUCAUUUAUUUUUUUGCUAAUCGAUUAGAACAUGAUUGACCUGCAGUGCUGUAAAGAAAAUAAAUUGAGUCUCUUUUUGGUAGCAAAAUAAAUACGGUCCUGGUAACUAGUUAAAUCCUUUGAUCUUAUCAGUACUUUUUGUUCAAGCCCUCUCCAAAACACUAAGGAUCUAGCAUUGAUUGCAUAUACAUUUUCUAGUACAACCACAGAUACAACCAUUCUUGCAAGCAUAAUAUCUAGGUAUACUUGAGUCAAUUUUUAUGUUAUUUCAACAGCAAAAAGUAAACUCAUCUACACCUAUUAAAAGUCCAAGGAAUUUUCUAAAACAAAAGCAUUGUCUAAAGUAACACCUAACAUUUUAAUUCAACACCAGACCAAAAGCAGCCAAAAAGAUUGCGACAAACAAAAACUAUAAGCUGGUGGAAACAGAAGACAUGCUAACCUGUACAUCGCAAUCAGAAAAGGAUAAUUGGCACCAAGGGGAGAGGUUGACAAGUACAAAACAUCAACCAAAGCCAAAACCUUCACUAGCUUCAUGGAUGGCAAGCAGCAAGCGUUCUUCUAACUGCUCCUUGGAGGAAUAUUCCGGCAGGUCUAGCUGGUUGAAACUGCAAUUGUUUAUAAUAAACUUUUGAGUAACAUCAAUAUUUUGAAAAAGCAACAUCCUACUUGUUACGUAACAUUGCAGUACUGAAAUGCAUUCUAGUUUUGCUCCUUCGGUUAGCAAGUCUAACCAGGUAUGGGCAGAAGGUAGUCUCUCCGGAGCACCAUAUGCCUUGUGAAUCUGAAAAUGUUGAGGGCCAGAAAGACCCUGCAAUGCUUUAAAGCCCUCUAAGGGAACCUGAAAUGGCCAGAAGCAAUUCAUUUAGAGAGAAGACAACAGUAGUAACAGGGACAUCAAUGAUGCCUGCUGAUCUAAAUUAAAAAUUAGAUCAAAUAUUUUGCUUUUCUUUUCAUCAGAAAAAUGUUAAUUUCUAUGCAAGCAUUAACAGAAAAUAUGAUCAACUUUAAGAGGCCAUGUAAAUUCAACCUUGACCAUCCAGUGAAGGUCAAUCACCAAAAAAUCAAGAACUAUAUAAACUCAAGGAUAGUCAAGAUGAGGUUACUAGCAUAUCAAACUCCAGUACACUAUCGUCAUCCAGAAUUAACCUUAUGCAAUUCAACCUGGAUUCUAAUGGUGUGUGCAAAAGAGAUAAGAACAACUGACUGACUGACAUUGAUGAAAAUCAUGAGAAAGGAUUUGAAGAUAGAGCAUGAAACCCUUGAGAGGAUUAGAUCUAAAUGACAUUUAGCUCUAGAAAUUAACUAGAAUUGAAUUUAACUUUCCGAGCCACAAGUUCCAGGAGUUGUAAGUUCUCAUGUGGCAAAUCAUUUCAUCUUUAUAAAUAUAUAAUCAUAUAAAGUUACACAAUAGUGCAGGACACCAAAUAGACACAUGCAUUGCUCAAGUUAGCCUUUAAUUUCAUAUUUUUUUAUGUUAUUCUUUUUUUAGUCAUUUUAUAAAGUUUACUUAUUUUUUUUCUAAGAAUAAUUCACGUAGGUAUUUGUAUAAGCACUCACCUUCAACUUCAUAACUUUAAAACAUUACAUAUAUCUUAGUUUUUAUUGCUUGCCGAAUAUAAAUGCUAGUUAUUUGCAGUGAAAACUCAUCCACUGUAGGGACAAGCAUGAAGUAUGAUCCAGAAAAAUAUUUAAGAAUUCAAAUUGUAAGCAUGAUUAUUUUCUCAUAGGAAGCAAUAAAAAGUAUCCUACAAUGGAAAAAUGAUUUACAAGAGCUUAUCUUUUCAUGUUGUUGCAGCAAGUUACAAUAUUCCUCUAAGCCAAACUCUGGGCUCCAUCUCUGUUUUGAGAGUGUAACUGAUCUAGUCAAAUAUUCACUAAAACAUGGGAUAAGCCAGCUCCUUUUCUUUGAUGAGUGAUGGAUCCAACUUUGCUAAAUUAUUUUCUUCAUGAACAAGCAUGUGUCUUUCUCAGAUAGGAAUGCCCUAGCCAAUUUUAAGAUCAAAGGAUGGCAAUACUACAGCUGAUUGAUUAUCGACUGACAUACUAAUCAUGAGUUUCCUUGUUUUAUUUGGUGAAACUCAUGUUUCUUUAGUUCCAUACUAAGAAUUCAUUUCAAACUUGGUCUUCUUCUCUAAUGAAACCUAAUUACCAAUCCUAUAUUUCCAUGAAUAAAAAGUUAACAUAAAAAAGAUCAUAUCUUGAUGAUUAGCACAUGAAAGAUAUUCACUAGCAUCAAUUCUUGAACUUGAAAAAGUAAUAGCAAAAUCUAUCACAUAAUAACCUUCCUUAUGAAUGUAACAUUAUUGUCACAUCAUAAUUACCUUAGAUGUUCCAGUUACAAAUUGAAGCAGUCUUGCCAUAUCCUCCUUGUUAAAUGCUUUAACAACCUCCCAGAACCAUUGGAUAACAGGAGAUGCAGUUGUGUAGCCAGUAUACUCUGUGUUGGCUUUCAAAUCAUCGACUGCAGGCACCAAGGUGAAUCAUAAAGAUGAAAAAAUGGUAAAACUUCUAAUAACAGUAAAAACCAAAAGCACUCACGAUCGAUUUCUGGAAGUCCACUAAUUAGAAGCUCAAGUUCCUUGUCAUUGAAUAUUGAAAUAAGUUCCCGUGGAACUAAUUCACUGAAACCCUCUAAAAAGGAAUUAAUCUGAGGACGAAUAGCUGUACUCAAUAUGUGUUCAGCCACAAGGUCCACAUAGUCAUGCUUUGUUUCUUCUGUAACUCUGAUAUUCCUUCCUCCAGGUAUAAGCUCAUAGUCAGUAACCUCCAUCACACAAAGGGAAAAAACAGUUAGUUGGAAUAAGCAUGCAUAUAAAUCAGAAAUGAAUUACAAAGGCAAUCUGCCUUUCAUUUGCAUUCAAAUAAUUUUCAACAAGGAAGAGAAAACUUGCCAAUUUUAAGUCCGCCAGAAAUUAUCUUAAACUAUAUAGCAUAUUCAGAUACUGAAUUUUGCUUACCUGAUUUUUCUCAUAAAGGAUGUGUUUUUCCUCAUCGGCAUCCAUGCUAAAUGUCAAAUCAGGGAUAUCACUUACAUCGUUCUGUUUAAAAUUCAAUACAGAACAGUUAGUUUAUUAAAAAUACCUAACACGAGACCAAAACACUAAACACUAACCUCAAGCAUCCACUUCAAGUUCUUGUAAUAAUCAGGAUCAACAGCUUCUAUGUCAUGAUAAGUUACUUUCACACCAAGAAUGUGCUUGUAAAAUGAGCGAGUGAAGUGAACAUCCAAAAGUUGGCCAUCAAACAGUGCUUUUGCAACCUGUAGAAUUUGUUGAAAAUAUAAAAUGAUAAAGAAUUUUUAAAAGAAUUACUAUAGUGAGAAUGAUCAGAUUCAAUAAAGAACUGAGGAAUAUAUUAUACUACCACACGGCCCACAAACUUGAAAUAUGAAAGAUGCUCCGUUUGGUAAACAGAAUUUGGAUUAGGCUGGAAUGCUGCAUUAUUCCCAACAGUAGUGAAAAGCAAGGCUCCUUUGUCAAAAAUGACCCUUGAGAGCACUUGAUACCAUUCCCUUGUUAGCCCACCAGCAUCAAUCCCCUCUUCUCCCUGAAAUUGUACAGUUAACCGACCUUUCAAGUCCUGACUGGGACGCAACCGCAACUGAUUGUAUGAAUCCUCCAAGACAUAUGCCCGGCGAACACUGAUCCGCAGAGGAGCAGAAGGGUGAUGGUCAUGUUGCUGUCUAAUACGUGACCGAAAAUAUGCUCUCUUGUUGUCAAAAUCAAUCAGCCUUGGAACUUUCAACAUCAUAGACAGUGACUUUUCGAGCAAACUUGGACUUUGCCUUAUAAAAACAUUCAGAAGGCGUCGAUGCUUCUCUACAACCCUUGCAAAUGUCAUAGUGCCAGUUCCACUGCACUUAAGGGAUGGUGACAAUGAAGUACUGGCAAAUUCUUUGACUUCUCUUGCAGUCACAUUGUUAUCUGGCAGCGCAACAGUUUGGUUUGUCUGCAGCUUCUCGCACAGAACAAAAAAAGCUUCUAUGAAUGGCAAUAGCUGCUGUGUGCCAGGAGGAAGAAGUGGAGAAAGAGAGGAAGAGGCACCAAUAUCACCAGCAUCUGGCAAAAGUACAGGAGAAGAGAAAGUUGAACUCUGCCCUAGCUUUGCCUCAGUAGUGCUAAUGCAGUCACUUAGUUCUUGCCAUAAUGGCUCAAGAGCUGCAUUUAGGUUCCAUAAUAUAGAUUGUUCCUCAUGUUCCUCAACAUCUUCGCCCUUUUUCUCAUCAACUGAAGUGAGUGCACCGAGUGCUUGUAGCACACGCAAGACUGCAGCUCCAGCCAUAGAACCAGCACCAAGUCCCAGCAUUUGCGUAUUCCUCAAAGUUACGAGCUCAGAAACAGCAGAAGAACUCAAAUUAUGAGCUAAACCUGCUAGCUCAGUUGCAAAGAAUUUUCGAUGGGGAGAAGCAACAGAUGCUAAUUUUUUUACUACUUCAGCAGCAAGUGAAUAUACUUUAUCUGAAAGUCUGAUUAAUACAUAAAUUAAAUUAGUCACUAGGGCUAAUUCAAAGGAGACAAUGGAGACUCAAAACUAGUCACCACAUGAAAUAGGAAAGUUUCAACAUGCAAAAACAGCUUCUAAGACCUGGCCUAAUAUGGAGACUCCAAACUAGUCAUCACAUGAAACAGGAAAAUAAUAUAUGCAACUACAACUUUCUGAGAUCUGGACUAAUAUGAACAAAACCGAAUAAAUAUCAAAAGCAUUAGCCAGAAAAGUCCAGACAGUAAAAGGGGUGAUGCAGGUCAAUCAUGUGAAUGGAGCCAACUCAUAACUCAAAAAUGACCUGAGUUAGUUUCCAUUUUUUAAGUACCUGAAUUUGAGGAAAGAAAUAAGAUAAAUUGGAAAAAAUCUUGAAUAGAUCCAAGGAUUAGCAAUGCUUUCACAAAUAUGAUUAGUUUAAUAUUACUGUUUUUCAACAAAGUGACAGAUAAGAUCAAUUUCAUGAAUUUUGAUAACCCUUUACUUUUUUCAUUGUAAUCCAAUAUUUACAACAUUGUUGAUAACCCUUCAAUCUUUGGGGAUUAAUAGAUAUGCGAAAUAUACACCUUCAAGAUCGGCCAAAAUUUUAAGAGGAAAAAAUAAUAAUUUAGUAAAAUGGUUAAGUGUUUUGCCUUCUGAGCACAAAACUAGCCCUCUUUAUCUUUUAAUGAAGUCUUCCAAACAACUGUUCAUGCAAAGAUGGACGACCUUGGAGAGAGGUAUGUCAAGCAUUGCCCUUUCUCAGCUAGUUACCUUCUAAUUUCUCAUAAGAAUCAAGAUUCAUAGUAUUCUUGUUUAAAUCAUAAUUACAAUGUUUAAUAAGUAUAAUGGAUGUAAGGAAUUACUGAAUACAAAAAUGUUCUAUUAACCAAAUAUCAAAAGCACAUUAGCUAAUGGAUGUACGACUAUGAUGGUGCACCAUUAGAUAUGAUAGUUGAAAAGUAAUAUGAGUAUAUAAUGUUGUCUUGGCUAAACAUUCCAGGAACAUGAGGAAAAAGAAAAAGGAAAACAAGGAGUGAUGGUUCAGUGUCUAUAGGAGCUUAAAUGACAGUAGUGAGAAUUAUACAAGUUUGAGCCAGCAGGAAAACUGGUAAUAAGAAUAAAAGGCCAAGAGAGUCCAUAAAACCAACUCAAAGCAGUUGGGAUAACACCACUGGUUGUGGUUAUGCAUAGUUAGUUACUACAUUGGCAUGUGAAAAUGCAUGAGAUACUCUGUUUCGGCAUAAGAACAGUAAAGCGUAGAUACAUGAACACGUGGUGUUUCUCUUUCAAUACUGAUAUACUUGAAGGCUGUAGAUAAAUAUUCCCAUCUCUACUUAUUGGGCAUCCUCUGUGCCUAACCAUUUCCAGAAUGUCUAAGAGAAAGGCAAAUCAAAAGAAACACAUUUCACAACCAAUGUGUUAAAACAAACCAAAUCCUCUGUGCCCUACACUUCAACAAACAGAAGGGAGAGUGUUAAAACAAAGCAAAUGACAGUAGUGAGAAUUAAACAAGUUUGCAUCGACAGGAAAACUGGUAAUAAGAAUAACAGGCCAAGAGGGUCCACAAAACCAACUCAAAGCAGUUGGGAUAACACCACUGGUUGUGGUUAUGAAUAUUUACUACUUGCUACAUUGGCAUGUGCAAAUGCAUAGAUAUUCUGUUUCAGCAUAUGAACAGUAAAGCAUAGAUACAUGAACACCAUGGUGUUUCUCUUUCAAUACUGAUAUACUUGAAGGCUGUAGAUAAAUACUCCCAUCUCUACUUAAUGGGCAUCCUCUGUGCGUCACCAUUUCCAGAGUGUCUAAGGGAGAGGCAAAUCAAAAGAAACACAUUGCACAGCAUGGGAGUUCAUUAUCUCAGUUCGUUCAACUGCUAGGGCAGCACAUAAAUCAUUAGCUUAAGAAGCAGCAUAUGUAGUAGUAGUAGUAAUUCAUAAUUGCAAAUUUGGCCAGUACAGGGAUUGCACUACUUAAUUGACAUCAAAGUUCCAAGCAUAAUCAGAACCCCAGCAAAUCAAAGAAGUUGCUUUUAACAAAAUAUAUUUCUAGAUAAAUGUUGGCUCAAAAAAUUUACCCUUCAUGAGCAAGAAUGGUGCAGAGGUUGUGUAAAUCAGAGUCAGGAAGCUGUAAAAGAAGAUCAUAUUGGCUCACAGGGUUAUUCCUGCCCGAAGAUGGCACCACCAGGCAAGGACCUUGAUUCUUCUCCAGACCAGGGUUCUGUUCUAAAGUGGAAGAAUCUUUUUGAGUCUCUUGAUUCGCAGAACCAUCUGCAGCUUGUGCAGAGGGAGGCGGGCAAUCAAUCUUUGAGACAACAGUGUUAACUACUACUUGGAUCAAGGACAUAACCUGCACAAGCGACCAAAUCCAGUUGCACAUGCAAGUAAAAUGCAAAUAGAAAUACAUCAGCAAUCCAUCAUAAGCUUGCGAGUACCUGCUCAAGAUGUGCAUUGCUGCGCAGAAAUAACGGUCUGUUCAAAAGCUUCAAAAAUAUAACUAGAGGCAUAGAACCCUUAGGUGAUGUUUCUGGAACACUUGAUGAGGCCAUUGCCUCAAAGAUUUUCUCUUUACCUUUUUCCCUCUUGUUUUCUGAAUGGAUACUGUUUGAGGAUUCUGAGGCCAACACACCAUCAAAGUCAAAAAGAAUGUCUGCAACAGAUGAAUGAUUUGUUGCCAGGUAUGUCAGGAUUUCAAGAACUCGACGAGACACGAGAGUUGGAAGGCCUACAAAAUAAUAACCAUGAAAUGUCACGAAACAAAGAUAAUGAUAACAGAGGAUUACCCCCAAAAAAAGAAAAAGAAAAUAAAAUGAGAUAAGUAAAAGAAUAAACAGAGGCAAUACCAUCUGUGGGUUGAGGACGGCCAUAGACAAUAUUCCACUGACAUCCAUAAAGCCGCUGAGAAAUCAUGCUUGCCGACCCACUAUGCCCAUCAGCCUCAGGUCUAAUCAUAUCAACUAAAAGGCCAACCAAAAUAUUACGUGUAAUACUAUGUGCACAUAGGUUCAAUAGAAGUCUUUGGAGAAGGCCUUUGCCCAGGGGCUGCCAACAAAAUAAAUACAAAAAGAAAAAGUGAUGCCACAUUAGUUCAGCACUGAAAUUACCACGGUAAGUGGUUCUCUGUUGACCUGCUUACAGCAGGUCAAAAGAAAGCAAAACUCAUACAUAAAGAUCCCACUUCCACCCCAUACUCAAAAUUUCAUAAUGAAAGAAAAAGUAUUAAUCUAAAUCCACACUCUGCAACGAGGGAAACGUAUCCGGACACAAUAAGACUCUUCCAGAUAGUACAUGGUUUUAAAAUAUCGGAUAUAGUAACAACAUCGUACAUGUACAACAAGUUAUUUAUAAAUACAUAAAGCAGUCAAAAGUUAUACAUGUUCUUAAAGUCAUUUAAUUCAAUGAAUCAUUCAAACGAGAUUCUGCAGAAGUAGAAUUUUGGAUGUAGUUAAACUGCACAUUUUCAGUCCCCUCUUUUUUUCAAACAACGCAAAAUGAAUCUAAAUAUGAAUUAUAAGCAUGUAAAUAAGUAAAUCAUAUUACUAUUUAAUAAACUAAGUUAAGAGCACCAACCAGUUGUUCCAACAAAGCAGCCAAACAAUCACCUAUUGAGGGUACCUAGGCAAUUAGACUACAGUGACGUAGGUCAACUCUCAAAAUCAUGUCUCAACUAAGUGCAAUGAGAUCUGAACCACAUUAAAACCAAUAUAAAAACGUGUAUAAGUACAUAAUCACAAAGAAAUUCUAGUAGAAUAAAUAAAAUACCUGAGCUAAUCUUAAAAGGCGAAUAAGAGCUUUCAAAGCAUUUGCAUCCAAAAGAGGCAUUCCCUCAAUUUCUUUGAUCUUUGAGCUGUUUGCAGUGGCAGACACUGCUCUUCGACCUAUAGUAACUCCCACACCUCUAUCCAUUACUAUCUGCCUGUCAAUUGCCAGCCUCCUGCCACCAAGUCUAUGGCUUCCUCCAAAGAAGCCGCUUCGAGGAUGGUAUCUAUCUCUAAGCAUUUGGGCCUCAGCAAGUAAAGCUGAAGGUAAUGCUGAUAAAACUGCUUCAGAUGAGGUAAGGAGUACCUGCAGUAGGGAAUAGUGGAAAAAGUCAUGACACUGCAAGAUAAUAUAAAUUAAUAAUUAUCAAAAGACAUACCUCCUCACGUAGAUCAGGAGGGAAAGUAGCUAUAAUCGAAGCAUUAUCCAUGUCAACUGGUUGCCCCUCCGCUGGCUGAGAAUGCAUGCUUCUCUGUGCUCGUUGUUGAGCCAAAACUUCAGCUUGGAUAUCUGGAGGAAGAGCAGCUAAAAAUUCAGGAUCUAUUUCUUCUGUGGGUGGUGGAACAUAUGUUUCAGCUUGCGCAGAUCGAGGUUGGGAAAUUUGCUGGGAAGCCAGCACUUCAGCACGGAGAUCCUCUGGCAGUGCCUCCAAAAAUGUUGGGUCAAUUGCAUUCGUGCUAGAAGCCUCAUUGUUGACAUUGACUUGAUCAGCCUGAUUAGCAUCUUGAGGAACUGUUGGAUUUAGCCUGGCAGAUAAUUCUUCUCCAUUAGAAGCAGUUACAGGGCUCUCAAAUUGAUCCCCAACGGUGUCUGCUCCAUUCAUAUCAAUAUCUGCACUUGCAAGAGCUGAACCAGCAUGACCAUCACUGAACUCUGGCAUGCCAGAGCCUGAAGAAAUAAGGGCAUGACUACUAGAAUGGCUAUCCAAAACUGACAGUCCCUCUCUACUUUCAUUGUGCAAUUCCAAAUUGUGAGGAUUGGCAGGUGCUUCAGAACCAUCUAGCAUAGGGUGAUCCAGACUUUGUAAGUCAGCAGAUGAUAUAUCCAUUUCAGGAAUAGUAUCUAAAGGCACAGUGGUUGGGCCAACUUCUUCCACAGGUCCUUCCCCAUAGUGUAUGGUCUCACUACCAUUACGUGCAACAUUCAGAUCAUCGGGAAAUCUUGGCCUUAUUUCUGGUGUCCCUUGACUCUCCUCUGCUCCAACAACUGACUGUGCAUCAAUUAUUCCAUGAGACAGGUUUGGAAGGCUUGUAUCAACUCCAACAGGCAAGUUCCCCGGCUGAUGCCCUGGACUAGUCUCUAAUUCUUGAUGCUGUCCUUCACUUGGUUCAGUGGGAAGAUCAUCUGCCACAGGUGCAUCCCUAUUGGCAUUUAAUAGAGGCGAUUGUUGGUUAGCUUGUCCUGCAGAGAGAUCAAGCUGUCUCUGAUCUGGAGGGUCAUUGACAGUAAUUAACCCGCGCAACUGAGACACAAAUUGUUCCUCUACUGCCUGUGCAAUAGCAGCAGCAUGGCUACCUGCCUGAGGCAGACCAUCAUCAGUCCACCGACUAUCACCAGCUCCCCUUCUUCCACCAAUAUUCAAAGAAUCCAUGCCAAGUGAGAAAUCAAUUAGAGGAGGGGGUGCAGUACCAACCAAACGGUCACCAAACAUAGUUGCAACAGCAUGUUCAGAUGGAAGUCCAGCAUCUAACAUGUAGAAAUGGGCUACAUCAAAACCUCCAAAUGAUGAAGCUUCUAAGUCUCUAGAUGAGUUCCCGCUAGCAGACCACAAUGAAGCAACCGGCUCCCCUAAUUGUGAAGGUCUCACAAGUAAUGGAUGUUGGAAAGCACUUCCUUCAAGCCUUGACCGAGAAAGAAAAGUCCUGCUACUUUGACGGCGGCGUUCUAUACCCAAUAGACGACGAAGACGGGAUAUGUCAUCAUGAAAGGUCUCUGCAGCAACAUCAUUGAAACUGCUUGCAUCACCAGGUCCCCUUAAAACUCGCAGGUGAUCUAACCCAGAUAAACCAUCCCUCCACCUCACCUCAAUAACACGAUUAUCAGGGAAACCGUCAUCUUCUUCAUCAAGCAUGUCAUCAUUAUAUUCAUCACCCAUACCAUUGUCAUCAUGGUCCUCCACAUCUGUAUCAGCUAAAGACAUUAAUGCAGCUCCUUCUUCAGCUAUAUCUUCAUCCUCUUCCUCAUCCUCCUCAUCGUCAUCAUCAUCUUCACCAUCCUCCCCUACAUCCUCCUCAUCUUCAUUGCCCAUAUCAUCAUCUGUCUGGUGUUCAACAUGAAAAGUCAUUCCAACCUCAUUUGAAUUCCGUAGUGCACCACCUUCAUCCAUGUCCUCACGCAUAUACUCCAACACAUGUUCAGCAGGUGCAUUAGUGACAGUGUUUUCCUCCCCAUCAACUCGCAUAUCCUGCUCUAUAGACUGCUCUGUAUUUGUCCCAUGGUCCCUAUCAUUUUGAGAAGGUUCGUGAAUCUGCUGCUCUGCAGGUUGUACUGUAACAGUAGCUUCAUGCUGAUAGUUUGCAUUUUGACCGUGGUUUUCAGUUUCAACUUCAGAAGUAGUCUGAUCUACAGUUCUACCUUGUGCUCCAGAAGAUCUUUUCUUACCAAGCCCAUCCAACUUGAGCACUUGAUCACUAGCAUUGGCAGCUCUUGUAAGACUUUCUAAAGCCUUGAGUAUCAUGUUUACAACCUUUGGAGCAUCUGGGUGGUCCAAAUCUAUCACUCGAAGGAUACCAGAAAGUGACUGCACCAUUCCCCCAUCUAUCAUGGCCUUAGCAAAAUCAGGUGAGCAUCCAGGACCAGGCAAGUUACUGGACGACAAAUUUCUGGACAAAAUAGAAUUUACCAGACCAGCAAAAGCUAAAACCUUCUUGUCAGGUAACAAACUGCUUUUAGAGGAGUUGCCUUCUGAAUCUAAAAUAGAAGAAAAUGCUUUCACAAUUUCAGAAAUAACUCGUCUGCGCCCCUCAGUAGAUCUGCCGCAUAACACUACCAAGAACCAAGAUGCUUUUUCAGACAAUUUAUCUUUCCAUUCAUCUGAGGUUUCAGCAGUUCUCUCAGAAGACACUGGAAGUAGCUGAUGCAAAACAUGAUGCACUAUUCCGCCAUUUCCAGGGCCACCUGCUAGCACAGAUCCCCGUAGCUGACAUGUCUCCAUAUCCCGUCUCAAGAUUACACUUACUGCAUGGACAUACAUGAGAAGUAUGUCACUCAUCAACUUCAGGACAAAUGUCAACUUCGCCAGCCAUGCAGAUCUUUCAGAGAGACUAUCAUCAUCCACCUUCUUUGUCUCAUCAACUUUUGAUUUACCCUUUUCCUUUAUAGCAGAUUCAUCAACUUCCAUAGGAGUUACCGCACUAGCACUUUCUUCAAUUUUCUUUGCCGACGGAAAGCUCAUAACAAUUUCCAAAAGUUGAUCAAUCACCUGGGAAAGAUUAGCAGGAACUCUUUUAUGGCUUCUAGAACAUUUGCCGGUAUCAUUAGGUCUAUUCUCAGGCAUCUUAAUAGGCUCAUUAGAAGGGACCCCAGUUUCAAUGCCACAAGCUUUCAUUUUGUCCUUAUCUUUUUCUUUUUCCUUCAACAAGACUAUGUUCAUCCUCCCUCCUGAUGACUCCAAUUGACAAACUGCAGCUGCAGCUCUCAUAAAGAUCUCAGGAUCUCUAGAUAUGACAGGUGCCAUGGAUGUCAAAAAUAUGCGAGGUGAAAGACGGCCAGCAUGUCGGCUAAGAGUGCCAGUAAGGGUCUGCCUGAUUUCCAAUUCCAUAGCAGUUUGUAGAGUUUGAGGAUCUUCAAUGAGGUGCCGAACAAUAACAGAUGCUAAGCUGUCAAACCCAGGGAAUAUACAAGUUCUUGGAAGACUAAAAAGAGCAGCUAAACCUCCAGUUUCAAGGAACUGUGUUGCUAUAGCAUGUGUUUUUGUCAAGCGUGCACAUAAUUGUAGAAUAGCCUGCAUAGCUACUGCUGGAACAUGCUGCUUUAUAAGUUCACAUGAGAUAGCCAAUGCCCGUUGACUCUCCUCGAGAGAUAGAUAACCAGUUGAUUUCCCUAAAAUCUUCUCAAACGCAUUGCCAGAUUCUCUCUCAAGGCCAUCUAACUCAGAUUUUUUCUCAGUGGCAGAUGAAGGAUUUGCCAAGGAGAUGUCCACUCCAGAUGAAUCAGAUAAAGAUCUAGAAGAACCUUCAGCAGUUUCUGUAUUAAAUUUAGGUCCAGACUGCAACAUAUUAUUGAUAAUAAGCAACAAAGCACUUACAAUUCUUGUUGCUGAAGGCUCAUUUCUGGACCCAUUCCUUACUCUGAAGCUAGCCAGUAUAUCCAGUACAACAGAAACGGUACCAUUCUCUGCAGCAAUUUCCCUUGUGCUACCGUCUUCACUGAGAAGCAGCGCCAAAAUAUGCGAGAUAGGACAUAGUGCACUGAUAUCCUUCGAAAAAUCUGAUGGGCAAAGCUUAAUCUGCUGAACGAGAUACAACGUCACCCUUGGACGGUCCUCCCCUUUGUUUCGAUUGCAAAGUGUCACUAACAGAUCUGUCAAUGGAAAUGCCAUCGAAUCACUACUUUGAAACAACUUCAUUGAUGUACCAAGAAUAUCAUCAACUGGGGGCAUCUCCGGCACCCUCUCUUCAGCAAAUGCAUUUCUUGUCUUAUCAUUGCUAUCCUCUUUGGGUGUUUCUGAUGAAUUUCCCAAGGACAAAGCAAGUGCCUGAGCAAGCUGAACAUCCUCCUGCACAAAUUCCUCAGGAUGGCUAAACAACCAAUCUGUGGCCAUCUCAACACUAUUUGUGCCCACAUUUCUCAGAGCUUCCUCAGCUCGAGCCCUGGUAAAACCCAUCUCAACUAUAUUGGCAACAGUAGAUUCAUCAAGUGGAGGGCUAGUGAGCCGUUGGCCAGUGCUUCCUGUGAUUCCAUUGCGACCACGCUUCGGAUCUCCAACACCAGAGUAUAUAUGAGUAAUAAUGGAAAUCAUGGAGGUAAUAAAAGCUGAAUUACAAUUAGGAAACAUAGGGUGAUUCCAUACAGGAAGGAUCACAUCUAGAACUUGUGAUUGCAACAUGCGAACAAAUGCCUCAGGGUCCCUUGGAACAGAGAAAAGAUUAAUUGAUAAUCCAGCCACAACAGGUUGAACAAGAAGCUGAGCCUGAGAUGGCAAUGUUGGAGAUAAAAGCAACGAAGAAUUGCAAUGAUAUUCCAGCAAACGACAAUAGCUUUGCAACGUAUCCAGCAGCCAAGAACUGUGAGAUACCUUCUCAUCAAUAGAGUGUCCUUGAUCAGACCCAGCAGUCGGGAUAGAUAAAGGCAGAGUCCACAGUAACUGGCUUGUAGCCUCAAAUGUAGUCAGAAGCUCCUUAAAUGUUCCAUUGACAUAAAAACUGUUCACCAAUGUGGUAUUGCAUGUACGACGUCUGCUGUCAAAAGUAAGUGCAGCCAUGUCUUCUACAACCUUUCCAAGAUACCGACAUUUAACAGAUAAUGACAUUUCAAGGCCGGCAAUAGAAUGUCCAGAAUAACUAAGGGCAUCAAAGAAAAGUUUCGCGAGAGCAGUCACAAGGCUCUUCGAUGCAGGACUCAGGGAACUGGAAUCACCUCUACGACGAGCAGAUAACCCUUUCACAAGAGUAGCAAAAAAGGAACGCAAAGCUAAACCAAGUUUGGUUAGAAGUUCUGAGACAAGGAUGUCUGGACUUCUCUUUUUAGUAUACUGAAUCAGGGAACUCUCUAAUGUGCUAAUGGAAAUUUCUGAAUCGGUAUGUGUUGCAUCCAUCUGCCGGCUAAUCCUACCACCACGUAUCCGUGACAAUGCAUGUCGACCAUGCCGAUGCAUACUUCCAGCAGAACGUACCACAGACACAAAAUCCUGUUCUACACUCCAUCGCGAUGAAGAUGUAUUCCUUAUUGAUACAGGGUUCAUAUAUCGGACUACCGGAACAAUAUUUCCAUCAUCAUCGCUCUCCCUUCCUGGUACAUUAGAAGCAGAAGAAUCUCCAGUUCCAGCUUCUUGAUCAGUAUCCCGCUUCUCAUCUAUCUUGGAAUCACUAGAUAAAGAGAUCUGCCACAUUAUUUCUUUGUAAGCCUUACCCAAUUCCUGCAGAAUAUCCGCAUCUGCAGAUCCCAACUCUGAGACCAUAGAAGUUGUUCCCUUCAAAAGAAAAUUGGAAAGUGACAACAGCCCCUCUAAACUAGAGAGACAUUUCAAGACUUCAGUUUGUUUUAAGCAGUCAAUAUCAGCUAGCUUAGUUCCACAAACUGAUGAAAGUAAUUCAUUUGACAGCUUAAGAUGUUCUCGGACGAAAGAGCAAACAGCCUUAGCCAACGCAGCAGAAUGCUGAGGUGAAAAGUUUUUAAAUGCAAUAGAUAUACUCUGACCAACUGACACAGAAAUUGGCAAUAACUGAAGAGUAAAUAAUUUAAGAACUGCUUCAAUACCCUUUUUCUCAAUGAAUACACGGCAUGUAUCUGCAUUCUGAAGAACAGUUUCAAGAAGACGAGCAGCAUUGCUUAUACACUCAGGAAGAAAUGACUCUAUGGUCAUAGAUGCAUUAUCUGAAGACACCUCAUUCAUCAGUUCAGAAUUUCCCAUCUUCAAUGUUUCCCCUUCACCAAGUGAAAUAAGCUUCCUCUCUUCUAGGUCAGUUUCCAUGGGAACAGGAGUACAAGAGCUUGGCAACUCUGUUGGAGAACAAGACUCUAAGCCAGAUCCACUUUUUGAUAUUGUAUUCAAAAUUGAAAUAAGCACAUCAACUCCAGAAGCACGUAGGGAGGAUGCAUGACGCAUUAAUUCAUCCAAUCCACUGGACAAGGUUCCUGGUGUUUCUCCACUGAGGGCUUUUAAAUAUGACCUCGAAGUGAAAAUUUUCACGAAACACCUUAGAGCAUCAUGAUCCUUCACCAGUUUAAGACCAGUGUUGUUAAGACACAAUGCGUCCAAGCACUGGGGGAUACAUAUUACUGCUUCAGCAGAGCAGAGAACACCACUCGUGAUGGCAUCAAGAAAAGCCCGAGGCAAGUCAGCUGCAUCAAGGGCAGGAAAACAUGUGGGAUCUUUAUGUAUAAGAUCACUCAUAACAUUUGCAGCAAGUGAAAACACUCCACCGCCAAAGUCUUUUGCCCUCCUAAAAAUAACGCACAAGCAUGGUGGCAAUACACUCUCUUCUGCGCCAUCAACACGAGCAGAACUACCAGGGACAUAAGUUGCAAGUGAUAUCGUCCGGAGUAAUGCUUUCAUUAAUAACUUCCGGUGAUAUGAAACCAAGGAUUCAGAAUAAAGAGGUUGUGUAUCCAGCUCAGAUGAACUGCCCAUGACUUGCUUGCCCUUACCAUUAUGCUNNNNNNNNNNNNNNNNNNNNNNNNNNNNNNNNNNNNNNNNNNNNNNNNNNNNNNNNNGGCGUGCAAUAGUAUCAUCCAGACCACCUAAAUCUCUGAAUAAUGCUGAAGAGGGAUUAUGGAAGUCUAGGAAGCCCUCAAUCACAUGAACUGCAGUACUAACAAGUUGUAGGUGUUGUGGAUUAGUAUCUUUAAGAAGGGGCAAAAUAGUAGGUAUAAAUCCUGCUUCCUGCAGAGCUAAAGAACCAGGAGUAGAUGAAACCAAAAUGGAGACAAGAGAUAGAAGCGCUUCAGCAAAACCGAUAGACCAUUUUGUGGAACCGCUGGUAAUAGAAUCAACUGCUUUGUGCAUGAGACUGGGAAGGAUUCCACGAUGGCCACCAGCUGUUACAGAAGCCAAAACUGUAGGUUGAUGAGAUCUGUCUUGACAAAGAGCAACCAAUGACUGAAUUCCCAGGAUUUGAAUUUUCUCAGGAAUUUCAUCUUCAUAGCUUAGUAAAGAUAACAGUUCAUUGAUAAAUUCAGGUUGAUUGUUAAAAAAAGCUGCCAUAUCAUCAGCAUCAUUGCUUGCUUGAACAAGAACUAUGAAGGCAUAUAACUGGAUACGGAUGUACUGAUAUCGAGCAGCUAAAGAGUCAAAAGCCCUUGCAAAUCUCAACCUUGUCAAUAGUGAGAAUCGUAGACUGGGAGGUAUACUGUACUCCUUAACUAACUUAUGAAGAAGUUCAAGAUCAUUCUCACUGUAACAAUUGAUUUUUGGCAUAUGAAGGACUUGCAACCCCUGUUUCUCAUGUUGGACAAUAUUGGACUCUUUUGAUGUAUCAUGAACAGAAUAGAACUCAAAAUGAAGUGUGGAGCCAAUCUCAGAAGCAAUUGGAUCGCAACCAUUUUGUAUAGAACAAGCAAUAAGUCCAAUGCCUUCUUCCCUGCCCCCCCACCCUUGUGAAAAUGCAAAUAACUUUGAAGUCAAAGAAGUAUCUCGUAUGGAGCACUUCCCAACUGUUUUCUUCAAAAAUGCAGUCAAUGUCUGAAGGCUUGCCUCAACAACAUCUGCAUCAGUUGAAGCUAGAAGAGAUGACAGAUGCUGCUGCAUUCAAUAAUGAGAGUAAAACAAAAAUAUCAGCUAAUAAUUACAAAGGAAAGCAUGGUUUUCAAUUAGAACCAAAACAUAUACUGAAAUAAAAAACAGUGACGGCAUUAUAGACCAUGAACCUUAAAAAUCAUAAAAACAACAGAAAAAGCAUGCAUCGUUUAACCAAAAAUAAAAUGCAUUACAAGAUAAAGUAGCAAAUCUCCAAUAAGAUGAUACAUACCUCAAAUGAACUGUACAAGUGCUUAUUUGUACAUUUUUCUACAAUAAUCCUUGUGACUCGAAGAAUUUGAAGAACUGCUUCCCUAGGAAAUGGAGGAUCCCCUUCUAGAAAAUUGUCUUCAAGUUGCAAAUCCUUCCUUGGCUUUAUAAACUUCUCAAAGAAUGAGUCAAAAUGAUUAAAAAGAUCGAUCCAGUGAUGAAAAUCUCCCUGUAUAGAGUGAAGAUAGGAUCAGACACUUCUGACUGCUUACAGGUUGAUAACAAUAUGAAAAAGAUUUUAAAAAGAUGACAGGAAAAACAAACCUUAUCAAACUCCCAGAUAAAGUCCCUCAGCGGUAUUUCUACAUUCUCGAGUGCAGCAGUAGUAACGCUGCUAAUAAAGGAUCUUAUAUUUAGAGGCUGUGGAAAAAAGAUUGCUAAAUUAGUUAAGUCUACUAAGGAUGGAAGACCAAAGACAGCCAAGGUUCGCCAUACUGGUGUGUACCACCUCUUCUGGCCAUAUCGUACUAUACCGGUACAGAACCAAGGCUCGUUAAGAGGAUGUACCGAGUCUCGGUACACCAAACCAACCCCCAUACCAGGUGUACCAAUACUAUACCAGCAUAGUAUCAAUACAAAAUCCAGUACCGAGAUUGCAAACCUUGAAAAUAGUGAUAGAUUGAGAAGCAUUAAAAAAAAAAGAAACUUUAUAGUUGGGAAGCGCAAAAGAAGCGCUACAGCAAAAACCAAUGAAAUAUGAGGGGCAGAAAGAGAGACAGAAUUUUUAAAAAAAAUGACAACAUAAGGCAAUUGCUUUUAGAACUAGCAAAACUGUAAUAUAUAAAUAAGACAAAAAGUUUUGCAAACAUUAACUUGGUCAAGUACAUAUUAUGAUACAAUGAAGGCAUAAGUCGGGGUGUGAAUCAUGCUGAGAAAUUGUAACAAUAUUUAAAAAGUAUUAAAAAAAAUAAAACUCAGAUAACAAACUAAAAUUCAUUAUACUAGAAAGAAGCAUGCAGUUGUUGAUGAUAAGAUGCUAAGGAAUGUGCAACAAGGACAAUGCAAGACCUUAAACCAAUAAGAUCAACUUCACCCUUAUUUUCUAGUUACAAAAAGAUGGACAUCCUUCUUACAGUGUGCAAAAACAAUCCUGAUAGAUAGUGAAGAAUCAAAAAAGGCAAGCAUGCCAUAGUCAUGAGAAAAAAAUCAUUCUUAGUAAAGAACAUCUAAUUUUAUAAUUAAAUGGGAAUGCACUAAUAGCAACCAUCUAGAUUGGAGAAUUCUAAACUGAGAAUCUGGAAAGUUUACAGAUAAAUGAUGACAGGGGAUGCACCUUUGCAACGUCAGAAGCCAAAAUCCUUCCUUAUUGAUUGUUGCCUUGGGAUUAUUUGUCUUUAAACUUAUAUUUUUAGAACAACCAUCUGCGCCCACUCAUUUUGAUAUUUGAAAGGUUAAUUGUUUUCUAAAACAUAACCAAAGUACGGCAGAAAAUAAGAAAGCUUGGAGCUCUUCAUCUCAGAAGCAUUUUGGGGAGAUUUGGAAAAAAGAAAUAGAAGACAUACCAAUCAGUGUUAUCAGUGUUAGAAGGGCCAGAGUAUUUUGUGUGUGUGUGUGUGUGUGUUGUUUUNNNNNNNNNNNNNNNNNNNNGUUGUGUGUGUGUGUGUGUUGUUUGGGGGGGGGGGUUACUUCAAAAAGGUUCCUAGCUCGGGGAACCGCUCUCGGGAGGCCGGUACACAGCAGAAAUUGGCCAGUUUCGGCCCUAAAGGGGGCAAAAUCGUUUUUCACAGCCGAACCGUACCGGUUAGGGCCGGUACUGGUACGCGCUGAACCGCCAGUUCGGGCCGGUUUAGCAAACCUUGGUUUUAAGGGAUAGUUAGAAUUUGGUUUGAUUCAAGGGUCAACCUUUAAUGUUGUCAGAUGUUCAGACUACUAAAUGCUUGUUAACAUCUUUGUUGUGAGAGUAAUUUUCAAGUUUAUUUGAUCAUUCGAUGGAAAGAAGUAAGCUAAGGUUUGUCCGUUGCCUCCUACCCUUUUGUUCUCCCAGCUUGUUUCUUCUUCUUUCCUCUAAUUCUUCUCUCCUCAUUCUAUGUUCUUCAACUUCUCUUCCAAUUAUCAUAUCCUCUCUACUAUUUAUUUUUCUGAAGUUAACAAGUGGGCAUAAUUUUGACACAUUAUAAGUCUUUUCAGUAUCCAUAAAAGCUUAGAAUCCUAAUCCUACCAACAGUUGCUAGGCUGAGAAAUUGUAGGAAGACCCUUUGGCUUUCUUGUACUCCCUAGACUUGCGACCAGCUUCAAUCUGUCCAGAUUUCUUGUGCAGAAAACAAACCUAAAAAACUUUAUUUAAAAGAUUUUUUAAAAAAAAUGUGAAACCUUCACUUCAAGGUCCAUUAUUGCAGAUAUGCAGCUGUAAAUCCUAGCUCCCUACAUCACCAACAACCCUAAUCUCAUCCUGAAAAGCCUAAGACAGCCCCUUUUUCACACUUCAAUUAUCACUUUUCAGCAGAUGAGCCCAUAUUUGUGGGUUAAAUCCAUAUACCACCUUCCAAUGUGACAGGCUAACCAUAUUUCUGUAAAAAAAAACUUAAACAAAAACCGAUAAACAAUGGAAACCUAGAAAAUAGAACUCCCAAUGCAUGCCUCAUCCAACAACUAAGCUAUGCAAGUUGGCCCUCAAGAAGUCAUUCUAUUCCUAUAUUCACCUUUCAUGCAUCUGCACAUGGAGUUGUGGAACCACGGCUUGGGGCUUGGCACAACUGCAUUANNNNNNNNNNNNNNNNNNNNNNNGGGAAGUCUAGAAUAGAAGUCCAAAAAGCCAAAAAUAAGUGGGUUGGGCAGUAAAUUAGAUAAACAUUAUUUGCAAAAUCUAUCCAUUGCCAGCAAAAGCAACUUUAUUGUACAAAGAAAAUUCAUAUUAAUAUUAAGAGACAAUCACUGUUGUAUGUCCCUUGUUUUGCUUUGAAUCAGGCCAUUUCUCCUAGCAUCUUAUCAAAGGAAAGCCUAUAUCAUUGCAAGCUUUUCUGUUUUUAAAAAUAGCAUAAAAUAAUCAGAACUCAAAAUAGUAAAAAAAACUAGCAUAUAACCCGCAUGAUGGGUACAAUUUUUUCUCCUUUUAUAUAUAAUAUUAUAAGUCAUUAUAUUAUAUAAUAUACUAAAAAUGUUAUAUAAUUAUAUUAUAGUAUUAACUGUAUUAUAUUAUAUAAUUAUAUUAUAUACUUAUUAUAAUUAUGUUAUAUAUAAUACAAUGAUUCUUGUUUUACUUUAGCUUGGUGUUUGUUUCAUGGAUUUUAUACAAGCACCCCUUUUAGCGUAUCAGUCCCUCAUAGUAGAAUUUAUAAAUUAGUCCAUGUUAUUGACCUAGUUACCCAUGAAUACUGAAUAAAAUAUAAUAAAUGUCAGGUUUUGCUUUGUGUAUUUGAAACAUUAUAUAACUAUGAGCUACCAAAAAAAAAAAAUUCUAAGUUGCCAAACAGAUAUGAGGAAAAACCUAUGAUAUCCUCAAAAUUAUAACCUCUUUUCUAUUUCCUGGAGUCAAGCAGGGUGGCUUGGACUGCAUUUCACCUGUCCCUCUGUUACGCUGCACCUUUUAUUUUCUCAACCCCCUUGAUUUGACCCUACUAUUAACCCUAUUUGAUUGCUUCCUCGAAAUCCAAAUAGAUUUUAGAUAGCCCACCCCCCUUCCUUCCAGAUUUGUAGACUCCAAACCAUGUUCCAAUCCAGCACAGCCCCUGCCACUUCCCCAUUCCCUUCCUUCCACAUGUCCUCCCACCAUCCGUGUCCUAGACCGCAUAAAACUUUUUAUAAAACCUCUCGUUGAUUUAAUUUGAUACAAAACGGAAGGUGGAUCUGAGAUCUUGUAUAGAAAUUUCCUCACAAAAUCGGCUAAUAAGCCAUGCUUUCCACUGGCUGGUUCAGUCACUGCCCAUUUGAAUUCCCGGAUGGGGCACGCUCGUGUAGUGAAUUUGGCAUGAAUUUCAAGUGAGUUUCAUUUGGACCUUAGAGUAAAGGUUAAAAAUAAAAACAGUAUCCGCAUGGAAGUAAAUAUUGUCUAAGAACCAUAUCCAUGUGGAAGUAAAUAUCGUUUGAAAUCAUGGCCCAUGGGAAAUGCCCUUCUUUUUUUUCCCAAACUGCAAAAAAAUACCCUCCAUUCAAGAAGUGUUUCCAUGUAAAAGUAAUAUCGUCUAGACAUGUGGUCGAUGGAGAGCAAUAUUGUUUGGACAUGUGGUCGACGGACAGCAAUAUUGUUUGGACAUGUGGCGGACGGAGAGCUGUACCAAUGUAAAGCCUCUGUUUUAGGAUACACGUACAUUAGAUAAUGAAAAUGGAAGAUUCCACAAUGAAUUUAAGUUAUUAGAACAGGCCUUACAGAUAGAAUGAUUUUAAUCUCGAAACUUUUGUAGGCACUGAGGGAGACAUUGUUGCAUUGUUAACACAUAUAACUUGCUUAAAAUCAAGUUCUUGCAAGUUCAAUGCAGAUUCCAUUUCUUCUAUAUAUUUGCCAGGUUCAUGGCCUGUUACUACAUGUAUUAUUUGAGCACUACUUGAAGCUUGUGUAUCAGUGACAGGGUAUAACUGCAGGUAUAGACAUCUCAAAACUUCUUAAAUACCAUUACAACAGUGUUACAUGCAGUGUCUGUUGCUUAACAAAUAAACAUAUCUUGCUUAAAUGGGCAUCAUGAAAUGUAGAAGGAAGUGAGCAUACCAAAUAUGUUCCUAGCUUGCUUAGAAUUAAGAACCCUGAUUUUUGUAUAGUUUCCCUGAUUUUUUGAAGCCUUAUAUGUGAUUUAGAAUAAUACAAGGACAAAGCAGGCUUGUAUCUCAGAAAUAAAGCAAGAAGUAACUUCUCUGAAAACCCUCUUUUUUCUCCUUUUUCCCAGUAAAUAUACAGAAAUCUCAUAAUGUUCGAGAUGGUUAGCCUAAGAGUGCAUAUCAGAAGACUCCUGAACAGUGGAAGCACAAUUUUCACUAGAACUAAGUUAAAUUAUCACAACAUAUCUAUGAAUCCUCCACACUUUCUUCUCUUUGACCUCAGAUCUGAGCUAAAAUAUCUAAAACUUUCAAGGACUUACACAGCACAAUGAACACACUAAACAAGUAAACUUUGAAGGACUAAUAUACCCUUAACUAAAACAGUUACAAUAAGAAGACAGGAACUAAAAAAAGUACAGAAAACAGGGUAAGUGAAAAGGUAAUGAAAAAGUGAUGAGGACAACAGAAAAAAAUUACAAUAGACAUGAAGGUACCCUGAAAAGCAAGAGGGAGCUAUCGAGAAUCCUGGGAUGCACAAACACUGUUUCAAAAUGUACCCAGUAAUCUCGACAACAAAGAGUAUGUUACUUCAACAUUGCAGAUAAUAGCAUACAAAGGCAUUUUUGUCAUUAUGAGAGCUUUAAUAUUCUAGACAACUUCUUUUCCAAAAUUAAGUUGACAAAGAAUAGUUUCCCCAACAAGAUAAUUUACAUUGUCAAUGCAAUUCUGCAAUUGUUCUUGCUUUAAGAUUUAGGAUCAUAUGAUCCUCUCGGACACCAAAAAUAGGGGCCACGUCAUACCGCAAGAAAGUCUAGUAAAAUUUCGCCCUUUUCUUGAUCAAGAACAACGAAAUUCAGUUUGAUCAGUUGAAAUCUAACAUAUCUACAAAGGAGAUGUUAAAAAUCAAUCGUGAUACUCACUUUCUGCGUGGCUAAUUCAAGUAAAACAACUUUACAAGGAAAAGAAAUUUAGUUUGAAAAAAAAAAAGAAAAAAAGCAAAAGAAUACAACGAAAAAAUAAUAAAACAAUGAUCACAUAAUCAAUCAUCAAAAAAAAAAAAUCUUCAUCAUGCAACUGUGUUUGUAACCAAGAAAAGAAACCCCCCCCAAAAAAAAAGUAAACACACAGUAAACAAAUAAAAAAAAAUCGAAUCUUUCCUUCGGAAUUCGAAAUCAAGAAGAAAAGAAGAAUAGAAACAUCAGACAGAAACCAAGAAACGAAUCAAGAUGAUCAGAGGCCGCAACUUACCACUUCCAAAACCCUUCUCCGUUUGAACUUCAUCUCAAAUUUCGCAUCGCCAGAACCAAGAACGGCCCGGGGAGAGCAGCCGUGGAGAUCCCGAUGGUCGCGGAACCCCACCGAAAUCCAACGCCCGAUCGCAGUAGAAUCGGCAGUAGAGUACGAUUUCUGCUGCGAAAAUCGGAUCAAGAAGGCCUGAUACGAAGAGGAGGAGAUUGAGAUUGGGCAAGCGAGAAGCUAUUCGGAUCGUUUGGGAGGAAAAUUAGGGUUAGGGUUAGGGUUUCCGUCGCCCCGAUGGAAUCGGGAGGAAAGAGAGGGAGCAGGGAGGGAGAGAGAGGGGUGGAGAUGAAUUCCAAGCAAGGAGAGCAGCCGGGGAGUAUAUAUAGCGUGGCUCCAUAGGAGAAAGGAAACGAAAAAAAAUAGCAUAAAAUUAUACACGGACUAAAAUGCCCUCGAGAUUGUUGGGAUUUAUGCUGUGGGAUAUUUCACGUGAAGUGUCCAUGGGAGGUUUUCUUAGGCUUCAAGACUAUGUUUGUAUUCGGGAUACGGGAUGUUUAUCCCCGGUAUAUCCUGGAAUAGCUGCCAAACUCCUCCAGUGGUCGGCCGGAUAACUUUAAUCCACUAAUCCGGUCGAACCGGAUCUGACGGAGUUAAUAUGCAUAAACUGUUAUCAUAGGGUCCCUGGGGUUGGUCUGAACCCGGUAUAAACCGGACUAAUGGGUUUGUUUUAUCCCUGAAUUAAUGACCAAUGCCGCCCUCGGUCGCUCCCUCCUCCUUUUCGCCGGUGCUCGCUUCUUUCCCUCUCUCUCUCUGCUCACCCUCUGCCAUGGCCAUCUCCUCCGAUCUGUCGCUGAUCCUAAUCGAUUGCGUUCCUUUACUUCGUCAUUAACUUCGUCUCAUCUUCUUCCGAUACUUAAGGCGGAGCUCGCUCGCUCUCGUUCCCCCUCUCCUCGUGGGGUCUUUCCUAGGGUUUGUGGGCGGUCCACGGCGACGGGGAGGUUCCGGGAGGGAAGAGUUCUUUAAUUGCCCGGGAGGGAAGGUAAAGCCUUUGUAUCAACCCUUUUUCCCGCAUCCUUCCUCCGUCCCCCAAUCCAUGGCUUAUUUGAUUUGUUAACUUUUUUUUCAGGACUUGGCUCUAGAGAAAUCGGGAAGAAAAUGUACAAGGACGCUGAAGGUCCGUCUUUAUUUGAUUUGUUUGAGCAUGCAGAUAUUGUUAUUAUGAGUUUAGUGCUAUAAUUUUGCAUGUCCAUUGUGUUUGGAAAAUUUUUGAGAGCUGCUUACUGCCUGAUAUGUCACUGCUUUACCCUGACGUAUAAUUUUUAAGAUACCUUUUUUUUUCAAAAAAACCUUGAGCUUUCUUGGAUUCCGAACAAGCUUGAAGUGAACCAUUAGACCGAGUAUAAGAUUCAAAGGACCCAAAAGUUGUAGGAUUAUAAAUACAUACAUGCACACAUAAAUAUAUUGGUCUACUUUUCUCCAGAAGGAUCGAGACCUCUAUCCUACCAAUGCAAAAUCAACGAAGACAUUUCAAAUUGAGAAUCCAUACUGUUGAUGAUCAUCUAUGUAAUAAAAAUAUUAAAAUAUCGGUGAUCUUGUAUUUUGAGACCUCGCAUUAUUUAUCAAGUGAGCUUAAAAAUUGACGGUGGUAACAAUAUUAGUUUGCUAAACUAUAUGAAAAGACGUAUAAUUUAAAAUCUACACUGUUGAUCAUGGUCUACACAUUGCAGAACACGUGUAAACCAAAAGUCGGUAGAUUUGGAUGUUUCGAAACCAUAAAUCAUGCAAAAGACCAAUAUUAAAUCGUUCGAACGAUAUAUUUUGAGCUUCUUGAUGCAUAGAAAAAUUACCUCCAAAAGUACAUGUUUUGAUUUUAUAGUAGUCUAUGUGAUAUAGAUCGUAAUCAACGAUAUGGAUCCUUCAUAUAACAUCUUCAUUUUUGAUAUUUGAUUGGUAGGAUUGAGACCUCAAUCCUUUUAAAAGGAUAAUAGGUGAACUCUCUCUAUGGAGAGAGAUGAUGGCUUUCGAGCUCCAGGGAACAAUGAGUAUAGUUAUUCCCUAUGCAUAAUGACGGAAUUUGACUUUCAAUAACUUCCACUUUUUAUUGUUUUCUUUUUUGGUCUUCUCAUGGAAAGUUUGUGUCAUUGAUGUCAUCCAAUUUCUCAUUAGAUUUUAGUUCAAAUAUCAAAAAUUACUUUUGGUCUGGGAGAAAUCUUCUCUUUCCCACAUUCCAUCUUCUCUCCUCCUCCAUUUUGUUACUUUGAUUCUCCUACCACCAGCCACAACCACAUCCCUCUUGCCAAUCCUUCCACCCAGUGGCCACUCCUCCCACCCCGUUAUUCCUGCAGCUGCAAACAACAACCUCUCAUUCUUUUUCAUUGGCUGUCAACUAUUACUCUUUGGACCCUCCUCCAUGGCCGUCCACCACAUCUCAUCAUAUGCAUAGCUUCUCUCUCCCCUGUACUAUCUGACAUUCUGCCUCCUUCUGCGAUCGCCUACAUUAUUUCCUUGUCUCUCAUCACUUUGCCUGCCGUCCUUGUCUCCAAUUUCAUUCUACUUCCACCCACCACUUUUCCUAGUUCCUCAUCCUGUCAUGUAUCACCUCUUCCCUCUUCUUCCUUGGACCACUUAUCCAUAUAAGCCACAUCAAUCUCCAAUUCAAAACUACUAAUACUUGUCGAAUUUUCUUGUUUUAUCUAUGAUGAUCAAUCCUCUGGUGAUCAACUGGUAAACAAGAUCAAGUUAUAGUCAAAGAAUUUCUCCUCUGACCUAUCUUAUGCAUCAGAGGAACCCAUGUAUCCAGUGAUUAUUUGCUCGUGAUCUAUGCCAUCCAGUUUUCCAUUUCUGCUAGUAUAGAGAAAAUGCUUAUGAUAGCUGAAAAAUGUGUUGUAUGCUAUCUAGAGCUUCAAAGGCAAUGACUGCUAUGCAAAUACAGAGUAUCCCUAGAUUUUCUCAAUUAUUUGUUCUUAUUUUUUUAUGUAAAAAUUAAAUGGUGUCUAAGAAGAGUACGUAUAUCGAUCACAUUUCCAUGGUCAUGGAAGAGCAAUGCCUAUAAAUGUUUUCUUUUUCCAGCAUCCAGAUUCUUUCUCGGAAUAAUAAUAUAAAGUAAGCUACCUUUUUCAUCAUGCAAUGAUUGUUGAUUCCAGCAUAUAGACCUUGGAAUGCAGACCUUAUGAUAUAAAUAGAACGUUGGCCUUGGUUAGAUGCUAAGAGGUCCAGCAUCAUUUUUAUUUUACAAAAUGCUCAAGAAACUAAAAGGUAUCAUCCAUACAGGCGCUCGACUGCUGUGGUGUAUUCUCAUUACUCCCUUUGCAUUGGUAUCCUGAAGUGUGGGCCAUUUAAAGAAGGGAAUUAAUACACCAGAGUGGCUUUUUCGAGUGAUUUUUCUGGGUUACGAUAGCAUCGCUCGUUAGAUUACCAUUGAUUUUUUGGACGACAAUCUUGAACACCCAACUAGUAAUAUCCUUUAGUCUGUGCUCCAAGGCAAGCAACUGAUGGUUUGGUUUGUAGUUUUAGUCUCACUUGUAUAUGGAGUGAGUUCCUUGGCCGUGUUUUGCUGCUCAAAGGCAGCUGAAGCAAGCAAGCAUCCAAGUAUUAUGCAAUUUUUGUAAUAACUUUUGGCAUUUGCUAUAAGCAAGGAGCUUGAAUUUUAGAUGUUAAAAUGCUAAGAACAUAAUAUUGCAUCCAUCUUUCUUAUGAAAACAACACAUAAAGGAUAGCAAGAAUUCUUGAUGCUUGUUCUUUAUAUAUGUAGAAGAAGAUAGCCAUGCCUGUGCUUAGAGAUUAGGUCUUUUCAUGUCAUAAGAUUUUUUAAUAUGGUUGACUCAGGAAGCCCACCUCUGCAAAAUUUUAUAUUCGGUGAAAUCCUUUUUCUGGAAAACCUUCAAGAAAUGAAUAAUCAAGUUAAACCAUGGAAGGUCACCAUACUCAUGUAGCAGAGAACAUGCUGAUUUCCAAUAUCAAUUGAUUCAGAUGGGGGGAAGGGGAAAAGAAUGGAUUAGGCCAUCCAAGAUUCCAUGAGCAGGAGAGAACCUAGACACCGAAGAAUAGGAACCACAAGAUCCAAGUAUAAUUUCUCCAAAGACCCACAGGAAAUGAAGAGUGGGCAAUGGAUGGACAUCAUACAACAUUUAUUUAUGUUACUUUUACAACUCCACAAGUAGGUUUUCAUUCAGUCAGUCAUUCAUUCAUUCACAAGAUCACUUGGAGGCAGGGUAGAUCAACAAUCCAAGUUGUGCCGUACAAUUAACCUGGAUCUCCAAGACAAGUAUGAGAGAACUAUAUGGAUCACAAUUAUUUAUACAAAAAUAAGUUUAUUGUGUUAGAUUUUUCUAUGACCGUACAGUAGCCCUACCUAUAAUGCAUUAGCACCUGGCACCAGGGUAGUUCCGGGUAUUGCUCAUCUUAGAUGAAGAGUUGAUAAGAUAAAAAAAUGGAUCACAUAUCAAGAUAUCCAAUAUCUAUAUCUACUUUUAAUUUUUUUUGAUAAAUAUGAAUACGGAUAUUGAUAUUAGUCAAAUGCUAAAAUCCAUAUUUAUGUUUAUUUUAAAUGGAUAUCAAUACAAAUUGGACACUGACAAUACCAAUACAAAUGGAUAAGUGAACUUUAUAAACCACCAAAUCUUACCAAUUGAAAGGUGAACUAACUUAAAGAUAUAUUAAUAUUGUCAUUCAUUUCUCUUUGAAGCUCAUGAGAGUUGCGACUGCAGGUAGAAUCAAAUUUUUUUAUAUGGGUCUUCCAUAUUCUUAUCCAUUUUGCUAUUUUUUUGAUAAAUAAAAUAUAAAUAUGGACAUUAUUUAAAUGCUGAAAAUCAUACCUAUAUUUGGUUUAUCUGCCUUAUGGAUCUGAGACAGCAAGAAUUUAACAUGGCUAAUAAAGGAUGUUCAAUAAGCCAGGUGUUUUUUAGUGAUUCAAGACAUGAUAUGGUAGCAACAAAAGAACAGGCUGCAGAACAGGCUGCUGAGGUAGGAAAAGGUUUUGAAAAGAAAAUUAUAAACUUCCUGCGUUCGGAUAGAAAUUGCAGCUGGCUCGUCAGGAAGGGAAACUAGUUGCAGGAAUAUUAACUCUCCGGGUAGAGAUUCGAUCAAUUUGAUUACAUGGAAAGGAACUGAGUACCAGUUAUGUAGAUGCAAACACGCAAACAUGAAGGGAUGAGAAUGUGGAAGAUUUUAUCUAAAAGAGUCAGCAAAUAAAAGAUUCUGAAACGGAUGUGGCAUGCAGCAAGCCUGUGUCGACCGUCCACAACAUUGAAAACAAUCAAUUCGCAGUUCUAUCAGUCUCUCAAUAAAUGUGGCUCGUCCUGAAGAUGGCAUGCUUUUUGGUAUGACGUCGAAGAUUUUUUUUUGGAAACAACUUGGUAGAAACAUCUCCCCGUGUUUGUCAGGAAUCUCAGAAGAAGAUAUAAACUUUGGUGAUGGAGAAUACUAAAUAAAAAAUCAGAGAAGAUUGCUACAGGAUAAUCUUGAGAUGGAACGCUUAAACAAACAAUUGGCAGCCAAAGUUUUUUUUUUUUUCUUUUUUUUGAGAAUAGAUUGGCAGCCAAAGUUAAUUCAGCCCUACCUCCAGUAUAGUUCAACCAACCUGCCGGGCCCAAGAGCAAGAAAAAAUUGACAACUUCACCACUCGCAACUUGCAAGCACCGGUAAAAUAUGCAACACAUAGGGCAUUUAUGAUUCUUUAUCUAUCACGCAGGUGGUUUCCUUGACUACCUCUGAAAUCAUUCUUCACAUGCUGCAAACCUUUACAAAAUUGCAGUGUUAAAAGGAAAGUAAACUACUCAGCAGAUGUUAUGAACCAUGAGGACGCUUCGACCUAAUCUUCCGCAGCAAUCCAAACUACAAGUUACAAAAAAGCAGCGGCAUCAUACCCUACAUUGUGUGCGCCAUGUGGCCAUACACAACGCCAAUCACAGCUACUUACCUCAUUCAUCAAGCACACAUCUCGGUGCACACUGCUACAAGAAUAAGAUGGCGCAUGCCAUAUAGGAUAUAAUUUCUCCUUAGCAAUGCAGUCUGCUGCAGUGUGACAGUUUGAAUCUAAUCAUGUCUUUGACAAAACCUCUUUAAAGAGGGGCAGUUUAUGAAAAGAUACAGGACUUAGAAACAGAACACUGAUAUGAAUAGACCCAACUGCCUCUUAACUUAAACCAGGCCUGAGCAAGACAGCAGGAUGCUGAAAAGCCUGCUUUUUCAGUGCUAAAUGAAUGAAAGAUUAAAACAAGUAUCUUAAAUUUAUCUAGCCUCUUCCACAGAAGUAGUAGUUGGGUGAUCAAUCCACUUGACCGUCACAUAUAAUUCACCUGAUUCAACAUCACGAAGCUUCAAACGGACAUCAAGCACAAUCUCACCAUUCGCGUAUGUGACAGAGGUGUCAGCCAAGAGGCAAUUGUCGCUGUUAGCUGCCACUUUCCUCAACAUGGUCUCGCCUGUAGUUAGCUGCAGCGCUCGCUUCAACUUUGAAGCUGAGGCAAGCGGCCGAAGGUCAAGAAAGGUAUGACCCAUCUUGUCAUCUGAUUUGAACCGGUCCCUAUCGAACACCUCCUGCAAAAAUUUUGAAGUUUUUUAAUUUGAGUUUGUUUCUCAAAGCACUGGCUCGAGACUAGUAAGCAAAAUAAGAUGGAGGGAACUAUGAUAUAUUUCAUAACAUGAAUUUCAGCUAUCCAUUGUUUAUAAUAUGUAAAGGGGGCAUACAUGAUCAUAUCAAAAACCUCAUGCUCCAAAGAACUUUCUUAGAUUUGGUCACAUUUCAGUAAGGCAAGGCGCAUGUUGAUGGCACCGACCAGAUCUCCAGUUCUGUCUCAGGUGUUUUUGAGAAAAAUAAACGAUAAAUCACCAUUGAGACAUACAAACAAAAAGUAACUUCAGUUGUUGCAUACAUCGAAGGUUUUGAUCAUAAUUAUCAUUGAUCCUUGGGUAUUUAAACUUAGGUAAUUAAAGUGCAGAUGGGUCUCCCUUUCUCUCUCAAAAAAGAAAAAGACAAAUCAAACAACAUUUUGUAAUAUCUUACAACAAGUUGCAUGAUAACCAUACAGAUUUGUUAGGUCUUUCCAGUGCAAAAGAGACAUACACCAGAGAGUCAAAACAUGUGCAUUCAAGGGACAACUGUUCUAUUCUUACUUGCAUAACUUUAUGUUUUUAAAAUAAUGUUAUGUUUGUCAAAGGAAAUGAAGGAGGCAUAUAAUACUCGAAUUUGGUACCCUGAGAUCCUUGAACCCAGUUGACGCAUGAUAGUCAGCAAAAUAAUUACUUCUCUUAACAAAGACAGCAACAGACUAGUUGUCAUCUAUUGAAUCUUCUUCAAUAUACAGUGAUACAUUAACAAUCUUACAAAACACUGCCUUCUGCAUAUUAAAUUAUUGUUCAAAGUAUUUAUUUCUCAUCAACACAAGUUCAGAUAUAGGUCACUAUCCACUUCCAUAAACUACAAGAUAAGAGUCUGUCUACAUAAACUAGCAUGGCAAUAGUCAUUGAAACAGUCAAACUUCUAGAAUAUUAAUUAUCAUAUAAAGUACAACUUAUCAUCCACUGAAAAACUCUUUGAGUGGCCGCCAAAAGAUUGUUGAAUAAAGAACAUACCAGUUUUAAGACACCAAGAGGUUCUUUCGUGGAGAAUGUUAGCUCUUCAUUCCAAACAGGAUUUAAGCAACUGUUGAUGACCUUUGUCUUUGCAGUCUGUGAAUAAAAGGAAAGAGUAAGCAUAGAAAGAGAACAGAAUAAACUCCUCGGCAUAGUUUUCCCAAACAAAGCACUAGGUCAAAAUAAGAGGGCCUUCCAAGUUCCAACAUCAAAUUGGGUAUCCAGUCCAUCAACACAGGUGUCAGAGUAAGCUGGCAGCAGCGCAGUCAAAGUCAAACUGCAGCAGGGAUAUGAAUUCUGACAUGAUUACAUCAACAAUAAAAGAAGACCAUACUGAGUUCAUCUAACUAAGCCCUGUAUUGAGUUCAAGUUAGACGGCAGGGUUCAGCAUAAUUCCAAAAGGAAAAUGCUUUGCAGUGCCCGUUAAGUGCACAUAAAAAGCUCAUCCAGCCUACUACCACUGGCUUGGCAACUCAAUAACUAAUAACCACCUCCCUGUAUAUCGCACUGAAUCUUAAAGUAAUCCGACCCAUCGGUGCAAGAUGGCAGGAGGAACUUCUCCUGUGCACAUAACUAGUGCCACAUAUAAUCACCCAUUCCAAAGGCAUCAUUGUGGAUGCUACCUCGACUGGUGAUGACAGGCAGCCGCCAGUGUAAAACAGAAAUGGACAUGCAAGACUUACAAAAGCAUGCAAAACAGUGCUUCUACAAAGGUGCUGCACCCUAUUCUGAGUCAUAAAAAAGCUUGGGCAUUUUCAUCAUCAUCAUCAUCACCAAACCUCUUUUCCCAUUGAGCACAAACUCUAUUGAAGGAUCAAGCAGAGUUUGAAUACCACCUACGAACCCAUUGACCUUUUAAGAAUUGGUGCAGAAACUCUAGCCAAGGCAACUUAGACACGAGGGCAUGCCAUGAAACCUAGAAGGCCAGUUGGCAGGUUGGCAGGAUAUACCUUCCUAGUUUCGAAUAGCUCAUGCAUCCAGCAAGCUAAUGCAAGUUAUAAAUUGCGCACUUUUAUAACCAAGAAACAUCUUUCUUAUAACUCUACAACUUAACAUAGAGAUGCACGAUUGAAAAUAACCAAGAAGAAGCCUUGCUCACUUUAAUUCAUUUCAUUGAGGAAAGCUCAUCCUUAACAAAUAAAUGAAAAUGAAGAGAACCAGGACAAGCAUUCUAACACAAUAAUACUUGGCGACAAUUAGCUCAAAACAUUAGAAGCUGCUUCAGAUUAUCUUCAUUUGCCUGAGAUGGCUGUUUUCAUGAUCCAUUCAAUCCCCCUGAGGUUCUUCAUACAUUCCUAGCAAGAUUUACCGUUGACUCAACAACAUCAAUAAAGACUUAUCAUUGACUCAACAACAGCCGCAUGAUGGCUGAUGGGAGUUCAAGUUGCCCAACGAUCGUAUGGAGGCCUAACAAUGUUUUGGACAUAACAGGGUGGCAAUGCUUCGCCGUUUAACCUGUUUAAUUCGUUUCAACCGAUUGUAGAUCGGCACUAGAUUAUCUAUUUAAUAAAAUGACCAUAUUUUAAUCUAAAAUUUUGACACGUUUAAUAAACAGAUCUAAUUCAGAUUAAAAAAAUUUUUUUUUUUGUCUAUCCUGUAUCCGACCCGACCCUUGUCUUGUCCAAGCUGACCCUUAUUUUGUCCAACCCGCCAGAUUGGUAAUAACAUAUCCAAUUGGUUGGUAAAUCCUGAAAAACAAAAAACAAAAAAAGAAAAAAAAAAGAUUGCAUUUCACCAAAUGCGGCUGCAAAUAACUCACCUGAUUUCCUACUCUGACCACAACGUAGGGAUCGCUGCUGGUAAAAUCGCGAAUAGCCAGCUUCCUCCCUUGCACGAUGGUCACCUUUAGAAGUCCAGCAUUCUCCUCCAUGUUCCCUCUCCUACCAAAUGGUUCAACCCUAAAGAUCCCGCCUACUGCCGGGGACCAAGAUUGUUAAAAAUCACCGGAAACAAAUACUUUCCUAACCGAACUACCACUUAGUGCCUGAAUCACACUACCAGCUCUUUCUAUUGAGAAAUUUUGAACAAGAAUCAUCAAAUCCACCUCAAGCUUUAUAAUUUAGAAAAAAAAUGUUUUUUGUUCUACGUAAAAGAUCUGCCCAAAAAAAAACAUUUUUUUUCUUCUUAACAAACACCACCAGGGAUUUCUUAAAAAACAAAAAAGAUUCUUCUUUUCCAAAGUAUUUUUCAAUAGCAAAGUCUAAGUAAUAGAGUAAAAACCCUAGAUUCAGAUAUCAUAGGAGAAUCAAAUUAAUCCAGAAAGUUAAGAAAUUAAACAGAAAAAGCACAGAUACCUCCAUCAAAAUGCCUAAUUUUGGAGACAGGAGACUUAAGCUUUAUCUCACAACAUACGGAUUUUCAAAGAAAAAAAAUGAAAUAGAAAAUCUGUUCAUCUACAAGAAGAAGAGAAACAUGUAAGGAAGCUGAAAACCACCAUAGAAAAAAUCACUUGCCGGCGGUGGACUUCAUACAGAAAAGGAAAAGAUAAGAAAGCGGAAAACCACCUCGGAGAACCACUUGAUGGAGAAGCCUUUUGUGGGAAGUGGAUCUCGGGCAGCUCCGCGGCUUUAAUCGCCAAAUAAGGCGCCGAGGGGAGGUUAUAAAGAAGGAACCGGAAGUAGGGGCUUCAACGCGGGCGAGCAGCGGGGACCGGCGAUUGCCGGUGAUCUAGCGACGCGAGUGCCAUCUGGAGCCUUUCUAAUUCCCAUUCUUCCCCACCGCGUUCGUUCGGAAGCGAGCAUACACCCGCGUGUGCGGCCGCCCGCAUAAAAUUUUGCCAUGCUCGGCCGGUGCCAUAGGAGUCACGUCAUCCUCGUGAAAGGAAACAGACGUGACGUGAGAUAGUGUCCCCUUUUUUGACUUUUUCUUAGGAAUAUUUAUUUAUUUAUUUAUAAGCUAUUAUAUCAUUGACAGAAUCAAUCUCAGCUUUUAAUAUAAUAUUCGAUUAUACUUUAUCACCUUUUACCACUGCAAAAAUACGACCGAGAUUCAACUCCAUUGAAGUAAAAGUGGGCUUAAAAAAUAAAAUGAUGACAUAAGCAUUAUGGUGUAGGUGUUAAACUUACACAAGAAAAAUAGAAUGAUAAAAUUGAUUCAUUUCUUUAAUCUAAAGCACACAAACAUUACUGGAUUAUGUAGGUGCGUUGAACUUCAUGGAGAGUGAACUUUAUGAUGUUUUACCCCUAAUGGUCAAGUGGGAGAUCUUGGAUAUAAUGGCCUUGAUGCAUACAAUAUCAAGUAAAUCUCGACGCCGCCUGGGUUUUCUAUUAACUUGUCAUCCAUGAUAAGAAGCCUUCCAUAUAGGUCAUGUAGUUACUUAUAGCAGUUUCUGAUAUUAUAAUUUAUAUGGAGUGCUAAUUAAAAUUGCUCACCAAGUAUUGUAAUUUGAAUGUGAUUGAUGGCUCCAAUUUCUAAAUUGAAGCGAAGCACCCUUUCUGACAGCUACGUCUAUGUUUAACAGUAAUGCUCAAGCAUACAUCAUUCUCCGUAAUCUAAAAUUGCCUGCUAAGUCUGCAUGAAGUCAAUCAGAAUCAGGGAUCAUUUUCUUGUCGAAUGUUUGAGGUAGCGGCCAUAAUCUGUAAAAUGUUGAUAGCAAAAUCCUUACUGAAAAUCAUCACUAGUUUGUCUUGUCAUCAUUUUAAAGAGUCAUAUAAGCGACAGAAGUACUGGUGCGAACAUACAAAAAUGUUGUUAUCAAUGAUGUUAGUUUCAGUAUGAUACCUAGCCUUCAAUAAGGCAACAUAUGACUCCUUCGUUCGACAACUUUUGAAAUAAAAAUAAUAAUUAUAAUCCAUUAUGAAAAAAAUGGACACGGUAUAUAUAUAUAGUUCAAGGAGUGUACAAUUUUCAGUAGCCUCGUUCUAGGAAAAGAAUGUACUAUCCUUAAAACUAUAUGGUGAUACAUGUUGAUAAAAUCCUUAGGGACAGCACAAAUAUAUUAUUUAAGACACACUGUUCCAAUAUUAAUAGCUUAAAGUAACUUCAUUUAGAUGGAAACACUUGAAUUUCCCUUGCAGCUAGAGCAAAGACUCAUCAUUCUUGGAAACAUACCGGUACUAGAUAGGGAAAGUGUCCAUCUCUGCACUUCAAUGCAAUUUACUAAAGUCUUUGAUUUUCAAGAGCUCUUUCUCACCAUUUACGAAAUCCUAAAAGUCAUCCAUAAUAGUCAGAGGUAAAAAUAAAUUGGUUAGAUGUUACCAUAUGGUGAACUGUUUAUGAUGCUUUUUUUCUUUUCUUUUCUUUUGUUUUUUUUUUUUUGCUAAGGCUGAUGGAUCAUACCUGACGAAUAACUCCCCAUUUUCAGCCCACAGAGUACUACCAGAGUAACUGGCAUUUAUGUUGCCUUUAAGAAAAGAAUUUUUUUUUAAAAAAAAAAACAGCUCUUACAAGAGCAGCAUAGAAGAAAAAAGUAUUGAAUUGAUAUAAGAAUAGCAGGCAAUGCAGCCUUAAGAAUCAAAAGCAGUUGCUGCGAUAGUUCAGGAGAACGUGCACAAAUAAAUACGAUCAAAUUAAGAUGACAACGGGCAUCUUAUCAGAUUAGAUGAUCAGAUGUUUUUUAUUAUCAUCAUCAUUGUUAUUGCCGUUUGUUUGGUAAACGAUGACUGUGUUUCUCUUAGAAAAUUUUGUGCACGAAAGUAUAAAAAUCUCGUAGACAGUGCAAUAUACUCUGCAAAGGAUCUCAUAGAUGGUUACUAAUAAGGUAAUUUCAUUCUAAUUACAAUUAGUUUUUCUAGUUAAACUUUUUGUAAUUAGCUAAAUAAGAUAUGCUAAAGAAUAUUACAGUAAAAUCCUACAGUAGGAUCAUCGUGUAACAUCGUUCUAUUCCUAUAUAAACUUUUAAGUAGAAGGGCAGGCAAGGUGCUCCUAGCUCUUCUAUGCUUCAAAAGCUCUGACAACCUGUUUUAAGUAUCGCAUGGAAGGGCGAACUGUAUGACCUGUUUGUAAGCGUCACAUAGAAGGGCGGACCAUAUGAUGAACAUAUCGCAAUCUUCCAUUGCAUGGGGAAUAGGAUGUAUUUGAAGCCCAACUUCAUGAGCGAAAUGAAGCAGAUUGCAUUAAUAUACAACAAUCAUCUCAAAUUUCUUCUUGACCUGGAAGCAUGGGUGAAUUCUUCCCCAUCUACAUCACUUGCCCACAAGCCUGCAAUAGAUGAUUAAGUGCUUCUAAAUUCAUAUGCAAGAUAUGGGACAGGAUUGUGAUGAAGUUUUAACUUGGAAGAACGGAAUCUAAACAAAAAAAAAUACCACACCCGAAUGAUCAUCAAAUCAUCUUCUCAAAUUUGUCGAGCUUUUUCACUCUUUGCAUGGAUCUGAUCACUAAUGUUAAGAAAAUACCUGCAUGUUUGCAAUGGAGUGGGAAUUAAAUUUAACCAACCUAGAACCUUGGCUUUUCAAACCAAAAUGAACAGAAGAAAAUCAUCUUGAGUGAUUGUAUUUGAAUAUUUUGUCAACUUUGAGCAAGAUAUAAAGAAUUUAUUCCUUAGUAAGUCUGUUAACCCAAUAUACGAAUGUCUAGGCUAUGAUGCAUCAAAGAAGGCUAGAAGGCAAGGGUACAAAAUGGAGGAGAAGGGUUUACAUGCACAGAAGGGUUUGGAUCGCCAUAUAUGGUGACCACAACCCCAGGAUAUAUGAUGGAUUGAGAAGUGCUCCUAUAAUUCAGCAUGAAAUAGGAGGGACUUAGUAUCAAAGGAGCACCAGCCUUAUCGGACGUCCAUCCCAGGGUUGCACUGGUCAUAGAAGUUGGAAAGUCAAACUAAAGUGAGCACAGGGUUGGGUUGGGAAAGCAAGGCCUGGAGUGAGGUAGGUUUAGGGAAGAGGGAGAUCGAGAUUGGUGAAGAGUGAUUUGGAGCAGGUGGCAGAGUAUUUUUUUUUUUUUUUUUGUUGGGUUGGGGGGUGGACAUAGGAUCACAGGAGAUGGGGGCAAAAGGGGGUUUAACCAAUUUGCAUACCUCUAAUGAUGUAAUUGUGUGCACGAUGGAUGCAAUAACAUGCAUGCUGUAUGUGAAAGCUUCGCGAUGUAAGCUCAUUAAUUAUAAUACAUAGAAUACAAGCAUAAAUAAGGAAAGAUCUGUAAUUGUUCACAAAAUUUAAGUGUUAUUUUCAAGAACAACUGGUUGGGAAGAAAAUAGGAGGAUUUGGUUUAGCGCAUACACAAAGAAUGGUUGAUUUGUGCAAGCAAACACUAGUUGGGAACAACGAUGCAGGCGGUAGUGGAGAUACAAGGGCUUAGAGUAAAAGGAUGAGGACAGGGUGGGAUGACAAGCUUGGCCUGGAGUGCAGAAGGUGGAGGGUGGGAGGGAGAUUGAGAAUACAGAGUAGUGAGGUGAAGUGCGGGGGAGAAGUGGGAGUAGGAUCACAUAAGAAGAUGGCAUGUAGGGUCAGUGUAUGUCUUUAUGCAUAUUUUUGCAUAAUGGUUUAUGUAUUUAUUUAUGCAGCCAUGCAUGAUGAACAUAUACAUGUUGUGUGCAUCUGUAAGACUUAAAUCUGAUCUAAGCUCAUUAAACAACAAGAAUCCAGCCAGUGUAAAAUAUGCAUAAAUAGGACCUAGAUAACCUAUAAUACAUGCACCAUUGGCAUGAACACAAGAAGAGCUGCAUGUUUGUGUUUAAGUCUGUGUCAAGAUUUUCCAAGAACAAGACAAGUGAGCCACUUACCAGCACCAAUGAAAGAUACAUUCGCAAUAGGUUGGUUUCCUUGGCUAAUUAACGUCAGCCCAACAUUCAACAAGGUUCCACUAGUAGCAGUAUACAUGGUAGCCAUCUGCAGGAUUGAGGCUUUCCUUGCAGCUCUCUCUGACUGGAGAAAUCAGUAUAUAUAUAUGAUCAUUAUAUCACUAAUAACGCAUCAUAUAAAUAGGGAAAAGCAAAAAUAGCAAACAGAAAGCCAUUUAUGAAAAGAUCAGAUAGAGAACUUUGAUCAAGAACAUAAGACCUACAAUUGACAAAGUUAAUUUUAGUUGCUGAUAAAGAUUUGAAGGGCUUGUUUACUAAAAAAGAGUACAGAAAGAAAAAGACAGUCCAACCUUCUACUAUUGUAUCAGUUAGAUUCAAGAAUUUUGUACCCAAAAAAUGAUCAUACCAAUAAUUUUUACAAUAAUACUCAAAAUAGGACAUGCUUGCUGCCAUUCAAAUUUUUUCUAUGACACACUGAGGCUCCAUUUGGCAAAAUUUUUGGUGGGCUAGAAAGCACUUUCUGGCCCUCCAAAAGCAUUUUUGGAUGGUAUAAUAGUGUUUGGUAAAAAAUUGGAAAGUUGUUUUAGCUUUGUCAGAAAAUGUCUAUUUGGGAAAGCUCUAUUUUGAAGCUUCUCCCCAAAAGUGUUUUCUGGCCAACGUCGGAAAGUUGUUUUCGUUAUAAUAAAAUUUUUCUGAUAAUCAAAAUGUCCACCGACAAAUCUCAUGAUUGCAUCUUAUAUUAUAUCAUAUCAUAUCAUAAUAUAAUAUUAUACUAUAAAUAUAAUAUAAUGUAAUGUAAUAAUAAAUUAUAAAUUAUUAUGUUGUAUUAUAUUUUAUUAUUACAUCAUUAUAGUAAUACAUAAUUAUAAUAUAAUAUAUUAUUAUAUUAUAUUAUAAGCAUAAUAUAACAUAUUAUUACAAUCAUUAUAUUAUAUUAUAUAAUAAUAAUAGUUAUAUUAUGAUAAUAUAAUAUAUUAUUAUAAUAAUAUUAUAAUAUACUAUUAAUAAUAUAACAUUAUUAUAAUAUAAUCAUACAAUAGAAUAUAAUAUUAUAAUAUAAACAUAUAAUAUAAUAUUAUUAUAUUACAGUAAUGCAAUCUAAUAUAAUUAUAUUUAGUAAUAAUAUAAUAUUAUUACACUAUAAUAUAAUAUAAUCUAUUAUAUUAUAAUCUAUUAUUAGAUUGAUUCUAAUCUGUUAUAUUAUAUUGUUAUAUUAUAUUACAAUAUUAUUUAUAUAAUAUUAUAUUAUAUAUUAAGUCAUAACUAUAAUUAUAUUGUAUUAUAUUAUAUUGUGGUAAUAUUGUGCUAUUAAUAAUAUAUUAUUAUAUCAUAUCGUAUCAUAUUCUAUUAUAUUGUUAUGCUAUAGUAUUCAAUAUUAUAUUAUACUAUAUUAUAAUAAUAUUAUACAAAAUAAUAAUAUUUUAAUAUGUAAUAUUAUAUUGUAUUAUACUCCAAUAUGCAAAUAAUGCAAUACUAUGCAAUAUUCUUUAUUGUCAUUUUAUCAUACCAAAAGUAUUUUCUUAUUUUGGUUACCAAACGUAUGUUAAAGCUUUACAAUACUUUAGAAAUGUAGUUAUCAAACCACAAAUAGCUUUUUAUAAAACCUCUACUUCCAAAAGCUCUAUUUUUCGAAAGCUUUACUUUUAAACGCUCUAAAAGCUCUACUACCAGCAGCAAUCCCAUACAAAGCCUAAGGCUCCAAUUGGUAAAGCUUUUGGAGAGCCAGAAAACACUUUCUGGCCCUUCAAAAGUACUUUUGAAUAGUAUAGAGGUCUUUGGUAAAAAAUCAAAAAGCUGCUUUGGGUUCGCUAGAAAGCUAAAAAGGUCUACUUGGGAGAAGAUCUAAAAUGGAGCUUCUCCCAAAAGUGCCUUCUGACAUAUGUUGGAAAGCUAUCUUGGCUACACUAAAAUUUUUAUCAUGACCAAAAUGCCCACAAACAAAUACCAUAAAAAUAUUAUCCUAUGUAAUAAUAUAUUAAUAUGUAAUAGUAAUAACUAUAAUAUUCUAUAUUAGAAUAUUGUAUUAUAAUUAUUAACUCACAUUAGCUAUGUUAUAUCAUUAUAUUAUAUUAUAUCAUAUUAUUAUACUCUAAUCAUACUAUAUAAUAUUAUUACACUAUUAUAUUACAUUAUAUUGUUAUAAUAAUAUAAUAACACAUUACUUAUUAUAUUAUAUUAUGUCAUAUCUUAUUAUAUUACAUUAUAUCAUAAUAAUAUUAUAUUAUAUUAUAUUGCAUCAUAUUGCAUGCUAAUGUUUUAUCAUAUUAUAUUAUACUAUAAUAAUAUUAUACUAUAUAAUAAUAAGUAAUAUUGCACUGUAUUAUGCUCUACUAUAUAAUACUAUGCAAUGUUCUUUAUUGUCAUCUUAUCGUACUAAAAGUCUUCCCUAGUAUGAUUACCAAACACAUAUUAAAGUUUCAAAGUACUUAAGAAAUGUAAUUACCAAAUAGCAAACAGCUUUUUAUGGAAGCUCUACUUCUUAAAGCUCUAUUUCCAAAAGCUCUAAUACCAACAGCAAUCCCCAACAAGGCCUAGACCCUCAACUUUUGUAGAGGAUUUAGCUUAUAUAACAUCCAAAUACAAGAAUUUAAAAAAUGGCAUUAAAUUGAGCUCAAUUACACUCUCUUUUUAAAGCAUAAGGUCUAUCAUGUAUUACUAUCAAAUAAGCAAAAGUUAAAACAGUUAUUCAAAUAUAUUAUGACAAAUGCUCCAUGGAGUUUGGAGAAUAGCUUCUAUAAUCAGUUCCCUUUCAUUUAAACGCAAUUAUGUAGCAUAAUAGAAUUCAAUAUGUAAUACCUAUUUGUUUAAUAGAAAAAAUUUCAAAUUUUAUUGAAAAUGAAUAUUCUCUGUUGAUACCUCAAGUACUCUGACACGGAGUUUUAAAUCCCCUGACUCAAGUUGUUUAACAAACUUUUCUAUUCGUUGGAUUCUGUACGGCAUUGAGAUAGUGUAAUUUCUAGCCUGCAAUAAAUAAGAUGCAUCCUCGUCAUAUCAGAAAUAAAAGGGAGACCAAUGGAUCAUCUUUUCAUUCAAAACAUUUGGUAGCAAAGAAUAGAGACCAAACAUAAAAUGAUAAUGUCUUGCAAAAAUACAACAUAGAUGAGAAGCUAAAGGUAGUAAGAUCUAGUAUAAGAACAUAAAGGAAUAUUGAGAACAAAAAAAAUUUCCAUAAAGUAUGUUAAUGAAAAAAACAGAAAUAGAAAGUAUAUCUUAGAUCUUGGGAAUUAUAAUUGCUUUCAAAUAACAAAAAUUAUGAAGCAUGUACCUCUCUUGAUGAACAAGAUAUAACUUAAUAAUACAAUGACAAAAGGGCAAUACUAAGGAAAAGGGGGAAAAAGAUUAAUUUGUACAACAAAACCAGGUUGAAUUUUAGAAACUGCAAAAGACAUACAUUAGGAGACAGCUUUUAAAACUUUCGCCAAUUUGCAGCGGUUUUAGAUGAUCGGACUACUAAAUUCCUAGAUGCACCUUUGAUGUAAUUCUAUGUGGAUGUCAAGUUGUUCGCCAUAAGAUUGGAGCACAAUAAAUGAUAACAUGAAUUAUAGAAAAGUUACUAGAAACAUCUAAAUAUGAGUUGAACAAAAAUAAACUAUAUAGAAUGACAACGCAGCAAUGAUAUAUAAAACUGAGCCUAUAGUUAGUUUAUAACUAUCGACAAGUGCCUAAUUUCAGUUACUACGUUAUAUACACAAAAGAAAAAAAACUAAAAAUAGUACUAUUAGAAAUAAGCAAGGUCUGCCAGACCAAUACCAGGGCUCGCACCAGCCGGUGACCAGUUCGAUACAGUACCAGAACAUACUAUACCGAGCCGGGGUGUAGUGAACAUUGGGGAGGGAGAGGGAGAGGGAGAAAGAGAGAGAGGAGAGAGGGAGGAGAGUGAGGGGGGAGUGGGGCUCACAGAAAGGGGGGAGGAGGAUAGGGAGGAAGAGAGAGGGAGGGAGAGGAAGGGGGAGAGAGGGGGCUUAUGAAGAGGGAGGAAGAGAGAAGGAGAGGAAGAGAGAGAGAGAGAGAGAGAGGAAGGGGGNNNNNNNNNNNNNNNNNNNNGUACGUAGAGAGGAGGAAGAGAGAGAGAGAGAGAGAGAGAGAGAGAGAGAGAGAAGGGGAGGGGGAGGCUUACCUCGGGGCAAUAGUUGGUCAGUGCCACAAUCUCGAAGAGGGGGGAGAUGGAAAGUGAGCGAGCAUUUAGGCGAGGGGAGAGCGAGGCUGCGAGCAUUUAGGCGAGGGGAGAGCGAGGCUGCGAGCAUUUAGGCGAAGGGAGAGCGAGGCUGCGAGACUAUGAGAGCCCCUUGAAGGCUCCCGAACUAAACCAAACUGGCCGAACCAUCCCAACUUGGUUUCAAUUCGGUUCGGUACAGGUCGAACUACCUAAUUCAGGUAGGUUCGAUGAACAAUGGAAAUAAGCUUUUAGGAUUAAGUGAAUAUUUGAUCUUAGAGUACUAUAAUGAUAGCAUGCCUUAGGAUGUUGCACAAUAAAGAUAAAAUUCUCGAGAUAUGCGAUUGCCCCAUACGUUGGUGAUGAAAAAAAAAUAUUACAAAGUAAAAAUUAGGCCUACAAUGCUAUGUGGCUCAGAAAUAAACAAAAAAUGUUGAGACCAAGGUCUAACGAACCGAACUGUACCGGCCGGUUCGGGCCGUAUCGGACCGGUCCAACCCGUAACUGGCACGCCGAAGCCGUAAAAACCGGUGC